UCCCGUUCAAAUUUGAAGUGGAAGGGGGAGGCAGCUAAAUUGAGGUUUCGAAGCUGUCUCGCAAGGCAAUUAUCCGGGUCCUGGACAAUGAUUUCCCGGGAUUUGUAAACUAUUUUCUUCACCAAGAGCUUUACCGAAACUGGCAGGUCUAGCAUGGUCUGAUUAUUCUCAGUGCAAGAUAACUCAAAUCCCGGAUAUCCACAGUGGUGUGGCUGGUGUUUUAGACGGAAAGGGAACCGGAUGAGUGGACCCUGGUCGCCACAACCAUUCGAUGUCAUGCACUCAUCUCGGCCCCCUCUCAUCUCCACAAACAAGGUCAGGAACAAGAACAAAAACAAACAGAGAUAUCGAUCCAUUUUUAUGGAAGGAAUUUGUGAUUUUUGCCAAGGACAGAAAUCUCUGGGAUAGGAAAGAAAGUGGAAAGGGAGAUACAAAUAUCGCGAGGAGAUUAGCCUGAAAAUUUAUAGAGAAGAAUUGUAGGAAGGAGGAUUACUGCGGUGGUACAUUUUACUAAUAGAUUUUCACUUUAUAACAAUGUCCUUUCACCCUGUAUCACCUGUAUAUGUUUAUUUUGUCUCUUUCAAAAUGUAAGUAUUCCAUUUAAUUUGUACAUAUAAACAUUUUUAUGUAAGUCACAUUACCUACUCUAAAAUUUAAUAAUACUUCAUUUAUUAUAAUUUAAAUCUAAAUGGACCGUCCUCCUUAAUUUAUUUUGUAUGUUUUUAAAAAAUCAAAUUUUGAUUUAAAGUAGGCAUUUGAUUAGAAGAAAUAAAACUUAAAAUACAAAUAAUAAAAAACUAUAUAAAACAUAUAGAAGUUUAAAUUAUUGGAAAAAUGGUAACUUAGCAUGAUACCGUACAUAAUUCAUUAUUUGUACAAGGUUAAUUUGGUAUACAUUAUGGCCAUGUCAAGGAAAGUUGCUAAUUCAGUAGUAAAAUCCUUUUUUAAAAAAAAAGAAUUAAUUAAUUUCAAACAUAGUGAUUCUUGAUUUUCAUUUUCAUUAUGCUAAUUCAGAAGCCUCUAAUGAUUGAACCUGAUCAUGAACAGAGGGUGGGUAUGCGUUUCUUCAAUGUGAAGUCAUCCACACAUAGAAAAAUCAAAGUAGUUGACUAUAACAGUCAAUAAGGCUCAUUUCACACUCUUUCACCUUGCAGGAAAAUUGGGACCGCAAGCCUGUUGGGGGAUAAUUUGAUAUCUCUCUCUUAAAUUAAACAUAAAACUGAAGAAUUCCAACUCCGUAUCUCUCUCAAAUGUUAUGAUGUUUAGAGAAGCAAAACUUGUGGCGUUAGCGCUCUUCCACACUUUCUUGCUUGCAAUUUGUGCUGCUAAUGGAAACCAGAUUUGCAGACCCUCUUCUUGUGGAGAGAUUCAAAACAUCAGCAACCCUUUCCGAUUGAAAGGUGAUCCAUCGGGGUGUGGUGAUCCUGACUAUGAAUUGGUCUGCGAAAACAAUCGUGCUAUGGUAAGCGGCCGGGAGGGUGAGAAAUACUAUGUUGCUGACAUCAACUACGAUCACUAUACCAUUCGGGUAGUGGAUCCUGGGGUCGAAAAGGGCAACUGUCUCUCAACUCCUCUCUAUUUCUUGACAAGAGAAAUCUCUGAUUAUUACGGUAUAUAUUAUUUGGAGCGGACGGGAAUGACAAGUACAGCAGUUUUAAUGAAUUGCGACCAGCCAAUAAGUGACGGCAGCUGCAUUCCUAUCACUCCUUGCAAUGCGACUUCAUCUUCCUCACAAGCAUAUGUUUAUGCACUAGUCGGAGGCGAGUCCAUGGAAGUAGGAGAUAUUAAGUAUUCAUGCACCAUCAGCAAGACUAUUAUUACUCAAUUCUUGAAGCCCGGCAAUCUUUCAAUGUCAGAUUUGCAAGAAAUGCUGCUUCUGGGGCUUGAACUUUCAUUCUUGAGCUUCCGCUGCAAAAGCGAAUGCAGGGUGAAAGGGCUAGAAUGCGACGUGAAUUAUGGCAGUCAUACCGUACAGUGCUACAAGCGUAUGAGCAAUGUUUAUUUUUAUCCAUUCAUGUAUUUAUUUGCUUGCAAGCAUAAGUCCCUUCAACAUGUUAUAACUUAUAACUAAUAAUAUUUGCUUAAUUGGUUUGAUCUUGCAGAUGGGUUCUUUUCCUAUCUGACAUGGUUCUUUCUCUAUAUCAGUGAGACUUUGGGAGUUUACUUUUAUUAUCUUUCAUGUUCAUUUUUACUUCUAUUAUCUUUCUCAUGUUAAAUUCAAUUUAUGUUGUUUUUCUGUUAACAGGAUAUAUAUUAGGUGUGGACCUUUUUAUCGAAUGUAAGGCUUAUUAGUUCCAUUUGUUGUAGAAGAAAGAAAGAGAUUUUUUAUUUUUUUUUAUUUUUUUAUUUUCAUUCCAUUAAUUUCAAGAUGGUACCUGUGGGCUGCUUAAUAUCAUUGUCUAGUUGGCAGUCACAUAGAGCAAAAUGCAAAAGCUUCUUCUACUUUUACCAUUGACCAUAUUUACUGAAUUUCAACCUGCAGACUUCGGAUAUCUUUCGGAUGGAGGCGUAACAACUUUACAAGGUAAGCUUUGAGAAGUUCUUUAUAAUAAUAAUAAAAAAUUAUUAAUUUGAUGAUAAAAUGAAAUGAUAAUUUAUUUUUGGAGUUCACGAUAAAUGAAUAAAAUAAAGAACUGAUAUUCUAAAUUACACAUUCAAUCCCACAAUAGUCAGUAUGUGGUAUGUGCUUAAUUUUAUUUUUAAUUUAAAUAUAUAUAAUAAAUUUCUAAAAAUUUUAAAAAUAUUAUAAGACAUUUGAGACUGAGGUCAUAGCUGAAUAAAGAAAAUAUAUUUAAAUUAAUCAAUAGUAUAAUAAAUGAUUGGAUUUUUCGUCCACUUAACUAAUAAUAACUAUGAGGAUGAUUAUUAUUAUUAAUAUUACCCUUUCUCUUCUAUCCUAUCCAUCUCUUCCUAAUUUUUAAUCAAAACCAAUAGCAGUAAUAAUAUUUCUCUUGUAUUUGUUUCUUGCUCAUUUUAAAUCUAUCAUAUGUAUGAAUCUUUCUUUUCUUGAACUUAAUAAUUUUUGUUCCUCUCAUAUUUGCAGCUGGGGCAGUCUUGAUAUUUCAACUCAUGGGUAAGGCUUCCAGAUCUCAAUAAGUAUAUAAUUGCACACGUCUUAUACCUCUUUUUGCCUGGCACUUUUGGAAUCCUUUCAUUCAAGAUAACAGCCGACAAUCAAGUUUGGCAAUGCAUUUGGUUGUACAAAAUGAAUCAUAAAUUGAAAUUCCAAUUUGUGAAAUUCAAAAAUUUUCUUUCAAAUAAAAUUAUUAUUAUUUUUAAAAAAAUUUGUGAUAUAUUUGAUUUCAAAUUAUUCCCAGAUUUUGUUAGAGUACAAGGAAAUUGAAGAAUAGAGUUGGAAUUUGGCAUCUAAUUUCAUUCCUUAAUUUUGUACAACAAAACAAAUUUUCUCAAUUGAUUAUUCCAUCCUUUAUGUAUAUCAUGUUGUCACCCAAAAGAAAAAGAGUCACAUAACUAUGUUUGAGUGGAAAUCCAAAACCUAAGAUAUGGGUGAAAUGACCAUUUCAAAACUAAUUCUAUUUGCUGGAUUUGAUGAUUGAAUGUGGUUAGAUGAUUAUAAAUCUUCCUCUGACGUUUUUCAUAUCUUUAACAUGUGAUUUAUAUGUAGCCAUGAUCAUUAUCGGACGAGCUGUGAUUGGUAUUUUGUGCCUCUUUGCCUAUUUAAUUUACAAGUUUCGACGGAGACACUUAUCAUUAGAUGAUGAUAUUGAAGAAUUCCUACAUAACUACCAAAAUCUUCGACCAAUCAAAUACACAUAUUCAGACAUAAAGAAGAUGACUUAUAAUUUUAAGCAUAAAUUAGGUCAAGGAGGUUUUGGUUUUGUGUACAAAGGAAAACUCCGAAGUGGCCGCAUUGUAGCUGUGAAAAUGUUGGUUAUGUCAAAGGCUAAUGGGCAAGAUUUUAUGAAUGAAGUUGCUACAAUUGGAAGAAUUCAUCAUGUUAAUGUGGUGAGACUUGUUGGAUUUUGCAUACAGAGAUCAAAAUGGGCCCUUAUAUAUGACUACAUGCCCAAUGGAUCUCUUGAUAAGUUUGUUUUUCUUGAUCAAGGCAACAACAUUCCUUUGAGUUGGGAAAGAUUAUACAAGAUUGCACUUGGAGUAGGAUGUGGGAUCGAAUACUUACAUCAAGGGUGUGAUAUGCAAAUUCUUCAUUUUGAUAUCAAGCCACACAACAUUCUUCUCGAUGAAGACUUCACACCAAAAGUUUCAGAUUUCGGUCUUGCAAAAUUAUACUCAACAGAUGAAAGUAUUGUAUCACUUACUGCUGCUAGAGGAACCUUGGGCUACAUUGCUCCUGAAUUGUUCUACAAAAACAUUGGAGGUGUAUCAUUUAAGGCUGAUGUUUAUAGUUUUGGAAUGUUGUUAUUGGAAAUGGUGGGAAAAAGGAAGAAUGUGAAUGCAUUUGCAAGGCAUUCAAGUCAAAUAUAUUUCCCAUCAUGGAUUUAUGAUAGAUAUGAUCAAGGAGAGGACAUGGAAAUGGGAGAUGCCACUGAGGAUGAAAAAAAGUAUGUAAGGAAAAUGGUGAUAGUUGCGCUAUGGUGUGUACAAAUGAAGCCUAUGGAUCGUCCUUCAAUGAGCAAAACAUUGGAGAUGCUUGAAGGAGAGAUUGAACUAUUGAAAAUGCCUCCUAAGCCAACUCUAUGGUCUAUCGAGAAUCAUGAGCAAUCCAUGGUAGAGGUACCAAUUUCAUCAUCCAAUUCCAUGGGUACAAUCAGCUUAAAUGGAAGGUAGUCCUACUCCAUCUAGUUGCUUAUUUUGUAAUCCAAUAAUAAUGUGUGAUUGUGUCUUAUGUGUAAGGUUUCUAUGAGAUCAGUGUAUGUAAUAAAAUAAAGUUUCUACUUCAAACAAUAGUUUGGUUUCUUGUAAGAAAGGUUAUGUACAAGUAAUAAAAUAUCAUUUUAGAUGUUUGAAUAGUGUUCUUGCUUGCCCGUAAAAUUAUCAAAGAAAAUCCUCCAUUUCCUUUGAAGUUCUAUUUUUUUUUCAAGUAUUCUACAAAAAUAAUUAUUAGGGUUGUAGAUGUUCAAGUAAGUUAUUUUGUUAUAACUUGUUGCUAGUAGUAAUCUGGGCUUUCAAGGAACAAUAGUGCCAAUUACAACAUUUCUUUUGUAAGUAAUUCCAUAUAGUUUUUGUUAGAGAAGUGUCCUUGGGCCCUCUAAAGGUUACAAUUACAUUCUUGGACAUUGGAUUGCACCAUUCCAUAUAUGGUUCUUCGAAUUAGUGGACACUUUGAUCUCUCCAUUCAUAGAUUUCUACUCCUUGUUGAAAUUUAAUUAGGACUUUGAUCUUACCCUUCACACUUUAAAUUAGGCUCUCAAAUCAAAAGUUGCAUUUUAAUAGAGAAAUAAUUAACAAAGAAGGAACAAUUUGAGAGCUCAAACCUUUCCUUGGUAUAUGUCUAUUACUAUAAUUCAUUAUGAGCAUAAAAUUGUAGGAGUAAAUAAAUAUUCAAAAUUUUAAAAUGGUCUCCUACAGCCAUCACACUCCUUCAAUAAUUUUUGUGGACCAUUGUACAUGUGGUCAAUUUUGAUGCUUUAUUUAUUGAAUAUGACUUUUCAAAUAAAACCAUCGAGUCAAUUUUCUUGACACUAAAAGUAAGUUGGUCCUUAUAUUUAUAGGACUCUAUUUCUUUUAUCUUUAGAAAUGUGAAAUGUGCUAGAUGUGAUAGGACCAUAAUACUACAUGAAUUAUGUCGAUAAUACCAUACAUUGUAUUUCAAUACGUAUCUAUGAGCAAUGUCUAUUUUAAUUUAUUUAUGAAUAUAUUUUGUUUGCUAGAUUUCCGAAGCUUCACUCCCAUUAAAUAUAGAAUAUGGGGAAUCUAGAUUUUCCAUGAAUUGGUCAAAACCUGUGUGUGGAAAUUGUGAAGCAAAAGGUGCGAAAUGCAGGCUGAAGAUGAGUAAUGACAUGUAAUCUGAAAUUGAGUGCAUAAAGAAGCCAGAAAAAGGUACGUGCUACACAAUAUUAGCCCAUGCCAUAUUCCUUUGCACCCUGAUAUGGAACCUCUUCUCCAAUAAAUGGGAAUCAAUAUUAUUAAUGUGCUGCAUUUGAGAUUGGGUACAAAUAGAAGAGGAUAAGAAUAUAUACAUAGAUCGUUCUAUAGCAUUCCAAUAUAUCCAAUAUAAUUCAGCCAUAGCAUGUGCUAUGAAACAAUACUAAAAGUCUGUUUGGUAAUAAUUUUAGCAAAUGCUUUUAGCAUGAAAAGUGACUUUUUUUUUUUUUUUAAAAAAAAAGGGUUUAACAAAAUUUAUGAAAUAUUUUUAAAAAUUUGAAAAAUUCAUUGUAGUAUUUAUUUUUUAAAGAAAUAAUUGAUAAGUGAUUCUCAUAAAAGCACUUUUAGAUGAGCUUAAGCACGCUUAAAAAGAGAGGACUUUGUGGAAAUCUAAACUUUACAGAUUAUAUUGAUGAAUCUCCAGAAUGAUAAGCGAGAAAAUGUGAAAUUCAGAUGAAAAAAUCAAAUGGGUGUGAAGGUGGUAAAGAGAUUAGGGGCACAGAGAUCUCUGCCAUAGCUGCGAGUGAUGGGGUCCGAGCUCAGAAUUGAGUAUUAAUUGGCUAGGCUGACCAAACUUUUUGAGUUUUACAAGUCAACCCAAUGAAAUGUGGAAACGUGGCAUGAGUGAGUUCAAGUUCGUUUCAUCAUCAAGUUUGUCGUUAGGCCGGAUGGCCCACAAUUGCUGACCGUUUUGUCUGCAUGAGCUGGCUUUGUCGACCCCUCUGCCUUCUCAGGCUGGUGAGGUACAAUUAUGAUCAUUCACCCCCGGGAUGGGAAUAGUACACGCGUCCCAAGUACACUAUAUGUAAUCAUCUUCCUUGUGCAAAUGACCUGGUAGACUUAAAACUUAAAUAAAAUCGAAAUAUUAAUAUAUAUAUAUAUAUACACAUACAUAACUAAGGUCAUAUUUAAUUGAUGGUCUGGAUUAGGAUAAAAUAUUAAUGAAAUCUAUAUGUGUAUGUGUAAUAGUUUAAUUUAUAUAAUGAUAUAAAUAUACUUUCUUUUUUCUUUUUGAAACCAAAAUUUUAUCUUUUUAAAUGAAAAUUUGUCAUCUCUUUACAAAUGUGUAAUGAGCUUGAUGUGAUAUAGGAAAUGUGUGAAUUUCUCAACCAUGGAUUUUUGGAGUCAAGUUAAUUUAUUGUACCGCGUGCUCGAUAGGCCAUAAGGGAUGCCAAUGUUGAAAAGUGAAUUAAGACAAAACGAAACUGACUUGCUUCUCACCAUCUUCCAUCUAGCUCAUCUACUUUCAAACAAAAAAUCCACCAUUAGGAAAUUCUCACAUUCUUCCAUCUAUCACAUCUGGCUCAUCUACUUUUCCAUGAAAAAUCCACCAUUAGGAAGAUCUCACCUUCCAUCUAUCACAUCUAGUUCAUCUACUUUUCUACAAAAAAAAAUCCACCAUUAAGAAGUUUUCACCCUUUCCCAUCUAUCUCAUUGCACAUAUCCAAAGGCAAAGGAAUCAAAUACUCCAAAUGUAAGGACAAACCUCAAUAGAAUGCCAAGAUUGACCAGGGGGUCUUCUUUUCAAAAGUCAUAUAUGUAUAGAUUCCAUCACCAUAAAUUAAUAGUGGCCCAUAUGUAAGAACAUCGAACCACACAAAAAAUAUGAAUUGUAGAGUUCACAUGUAUAUGAUUGACCAUAUGGAAGCAAAAACCGUCAUUGGAAUUACCAAAGAUGUAUGAUGCUACAAGGGGGUUUUCAUUUAAAAAAACAUAUAUGUAUAGAUUCCAUUACUAUAAAUUAAUAGUCUCCCAUGUGUAAGAACAUUGAGCCACACAAAAAUGUGAAUUGCAAUGAGUUCACAUGUAUAUGAUUGACCAUAUGAAAACAAAAAUAGUCAUUGGAAUUACCAAAGAUGUAUGAUGCUACAAGAGGGUCUUCAUUUCAAAAGACAUAUGUAUAGAUUCCAUCACUAUAAAUUAAUAGUGGGCCAUGUGUAUGAACAUUGAACCACACAAAAAUGUGAAUUGAAAUGAGUUCACAUGUGUAUGAUUGACCAUGUGGAAACAAAAUCAGUCAUUGGAAUUACAAAAAAUGUAUGAUGUUAACAUUUUUUCUUUUGGAGAGUCUAUGAAAAAUUUCCCAUUUUCUAUGCAAUUUUACUAGGGGAAUUCUUUGUUUACAACUUCAAGAUAUUGAAUAUUUUGAUUAUGUGCUUUUGGAAAUAUUCAUAAUGUAUCCAUUCACUGUGAUGGUGACUUUGACGAAAUUUUUUUUUUAUUAAAAUGAUUAAAAAAUGGUAGGCUCUUCACUAAGAUUGUAUUGGCAAUAGGUUGUACAAGCCUCAAGGAUUUUAAUCAUUUAUAGUAUAGCAUUUCCUUCAGACAAUUUACAUUUUUCAGUGUGGUUCAUUUGAUUUCAAUCAAUGUUGAAAUAGGGUCCACGAUGAUCGAUGGGAUGAUCAACCAGGCUAUAGUGAGUGAUAAUUCCAUACAGUGCUUUUAUAGCCCACCAUGCUAUGUAGUCAGUCAAGUAAAAAGCAUGAUAAUUAAGAAGCCAUGGUCUUGUUGCUUCUUGAUCAAGUAGAAAUGUUAACAUGUUACAUAGAGUAUCACUAUAGGUAGAAAUUGGCCUGUGUCGUUGUGUAUGGGCACCGUGAGGGAGGUGGUAAACUUACUGAACGAACCAUCCAUCAAUCAAAUCAAUCACAGCUCUGAUUUGUUUGCUCAAGUGACGGCCCAAUCACGCUAUUUUCUUUUUUUUUUACCAUGAAGUGGCAUUGGCUUGUCAAUUCAGAAUCUGAGUCACCGGCGUGGCAUGCUACCCCAUACAUGUACAACAGGUACUCCUAUAGUCACAGAACCACUACCAACGGUGGGGAAGUGGGCCUUUGUCACGGUCCAGAUUUCAAACAAUUUGCAAGCGAAGCAUAACAACAGACCAGCACAAAUAAAUAAAUAAAAAUAAAACAAAACAAAAAUGAAAUUCCAGAUGUGUACUUUGCAUGACUAGUAGUAUUCACCUAAUAAUGAUCACAAUAACAAAAGGAAUUUCAAUUGGACCAAAAUGCUCAUGCUCGAUGGCUGCGGAUGGGGGUUUUUGUGAGACGUAGUUUGGUCAUUUGGGUGGAUUAGAGAAUCUCAAAGGCCAACAACCGAAUGGACAAUCUACUAACUUUGUAACAACUAUUGUUGAUUGCAUGUGAAUCACGUGCAGGGCAAAUGGCAAACAUAAGGUUAGGGUCCCAUGUUACCUUGUCGCCCAAAACCCAGAAACCAAAAUCCCAAGGCUAGGGACCUUGGGUCCACCAGUGGAGUAAUGGCAUUUUGGAAUCGAAUAAAAUAGCCUAGUUGUGUAUGGGCUGAUCACUAGGCUUACCCCAUCAGCCUAUUAUUGGGCUUGCUCCUCUGGAAGGCAUUUUGGAACUAAAUGAACUCGUUUACAAGCCUUUUAUGUUAAUGUUUUGGCUGAAAUGGACUAAUGUUUAAAACAACAUCAUAUUAUUAAAUUUUCCAUUUUCACAACUCAAAUCAUACAAAUAAUUAAAUAAAUUACUUUUAUGAAGAGAUGACCAACUCAACUGAUUUUAUUUGAUUAUUGUCUUUUUAUCACCAACCCUUAGCAGAUUGCAUAGGCUAGCACCUAAACAAAAACAUGCUGGUCUAGUGAAUGUCUUUCAAUUGAUAGUUUAAGAAUUCAAGCCACCUUAUAGUAUAUGUCUAUCAUUAUUAUUCAUUUUUAGUGUAAAAUUGAAGGAGUGAAUAUAAAUUCCAUAAAAAAUCUUAGUUGAUCCCUUUCAAGCAUCAUAGUCCUUCAAUAAUUCCAAUAAGACUAUUGACGGUGACUAUUAUAGUGUCAUCAAUUGUAUAGUCCAUUAUACAUGUGCCAAUUUCAAACAAUAGCCUACCAAUGAAUUUUCUUACCAAUAAAUGGAUAUCUGUCCUCACCUUGGAAGACUUUAACAUCUUUGCAGGAAGACAUGUGAUUGCAGAAUAAUUUGCGACAAAUAAUCUUUUUUGUUUUGUCUUGCUUGACUAACCAAAUAAAAUAUUGAUUGAUCUUUAUUAUGAAGGUGCCUUGAUAGCUCCUUCAAGUAGCCAGGAAAGUUCGGUCUUUAAAAUUGCUUAGUUUGUACUAUCAUUGCAAGAAAAAGGUAAAUGUCAUUUAUCAUCUUCUUAUAAAUAUUAAGUAGAUGCAAAUUAUGAAAUUACAUAAAAUAAUGUCAUAUUUAAUUGAUGGUCUAGACUAGGAUAAAAUAUUAAUGAAAUCUAUAUGUGUGUGUGAUAUUUUAAUUUAUAUUAUCAUAUAAAUAUACAUUUUUUUUCUUUUUGAAACCAAAAUUUUAUCUUUUUAAAAUUAGAUUUUUAAUUUUUUUUUUAUUCAAAGUGAUUAACAUGAAAUAUUUCGAAAAGAAAUAUUUUAGAGAUCCAAUGAAUAUGAGAAAUAAAUUUACUAUCCAAAAUAUAAGUAUAUUCCAUUUUUCUUCAUGAGAUUGUUAAAUUCAAUAUUGUCAUAAAUCAUAGCCCUCCAAUAAGACUUUGACUACUAUAUUGUCAUAAAUCAUAUAUCAUAUGGUCCAUUAUACAUGUGCCAACUUCAAACAAUGGCCUACCGAGUGAAUUUCUCAAUAAUAAAUGGAUAUUAGCCCUUGCCUUGGAAGACUUUGACGGUAAGACAUGUGAUAGAGGAAGAAUCUUUGAAAUUUUCAAAUAUGGAUUCUUGUGGAAAAGUGGGUGAUAUAUUUCAAAAAGCCGACAAUUAAUUUUUUGGGUUUUGUCUUGCUUGACUAACCAAAUAAUUUUUUGAGUUUUGUCUUGCUUGACUAACCAAAUAAGAUAUUGAUUGAUCUUUACUAUGAAGGUGUCUUGGCAACUUCCUCAUGUAGUAAGAAAAAGCCAAAUAUCAUGUACCACUAUCUUAUGAAUGUUAACCAAAUACAAAGUGGUGAAACUAUAUAAAUUAAGAUCAUAUUUAAUUGAGGGUUUAAACUAGGAUAAAAUAUUAAUUUGUAUUUCAUAUAUAUAUAUAUAUAUAUAUAAUUUAAAUUUGUAUUAUAAUAUAAAUAUGCUUUUAUUUUUCUUCUUUUUGUAAUAAAAAUUUUAUUUUUCUUUAUUUGAGAUUUUUCUUCUUUUUAUAAAAGACAUCUAUAUUGCAUGUUUUUUGUGAGAUUAUUAAAUCUCAUAUAAAUGGAUAUAAUAAAUAAAAUGAAUAAUCAUUUUUCUUAUCUAUUUUUCAACCAAACAUAAAAUAAAGUUGAUAUGAUCUUAAGAACAUAACAUGUAUCUUAGAUAAAGUAAACAAAAAAAAUAAAAAAUAAAAAGGUUGUUAUGAUUUGCAAAUAAAACUAAAAUGCAAAUCAAUUAUUUUGGAGAAUAUAAAUGCCCAUUACUACAUCAACAACCCUUGUACAUGGAUCAAAAUUCUUAGCUAGUCGCUUUCAAGCAUCAUAUUCCUUCAAUAAUUCUAAUAAGGUCGCCUUUGUUGAUAUUCAAUAAUUCCAAUAAGGUCGGCUUUGUUGAUAUUCAAUAAUUCUAAUAAGGCCGGCUUUGUUGAUAUUGACCACCACAGUCAUAAAUCAUAUAGUCCAAUAUGCACAUGUCAAUUUCAAACAAUGGCCUACCAAUAAAUUUUCUUAGCAAUAAAUGGAUAGCAUCAUAUUCCUUCAACAACUCCAACAAGACUGGUUUUGUUAAUAUUGACCACUAUAUUGUCAUAAGUCAUAUGGUCCAUUAUACAUGUCUCAAUUUCCAAAAAAAAAAAAGAUGUCUACCAAUGAACUUGACUUGGAAGACUUUGACUCCUUUGUAUUAAGAGAUAUGACAGAGGGAAGGAUCUAUGAACUUUUCAAAUAUGGAUUUUAGUGGAAAAGUGGGUAGAAUAUUUCAAUAACGUGAUAAAUAUAUAUAUAUAUUGGUUUUGUCUUGCUUGACUGACCAAAUAAGAUAUUAGUUAAUCUUAUUGCAAAGGUUCCUUGGCAACUUCUUUAAGUAACUAGGAAAAUUCAAUAUUUAAAUUUGCUUGGUUUGCACUAUCAUUGUCAAAAAAACACAAAAUGUUAUUUAUAAUCUUCUUAUGAAUGUUAAACACAUGUAAAUGUAGAUGAUGAAAUUAUGUAAAUUAAGAACAUUUUUAAUUUACGGUCUAGACUAGGACGAAAUAUUAAUGAAAUUGGACAAUAUAUAUAUAUAUAUAUAUAUAUAUAUAUAUAUAUAUAUAUAUAUAUGCAUUUUUUUUUUCUUUUUUGGAACCAAAAUUUUAUCAUUUUAAAAUUAGAUUUUUAUUUUAUUUUUUAUUUUGGUUAUUCAAAGUGAUUAACAUGAAAUUUUUUUGAAGAAAUAUCUAAUAAAUAUAAGAAAUAAAUAUAUUAUCCAAAAUAUAUGUAGAUUCCAUUUUUUUCAUGAGAUUGUUAAAUUCUGAUAUGAUAAAAAGAAUUAAUAAAGUUAAUAUGACCUUAAAAGCAUAGCAUGCACCCUUAGAUAAAGUAAACAAAAAAUAAGAAGAUUGUCAUGAUUUGCUUGUAAAACUAAAAUAUGAAUCAAUUAUUUUGAAAAAUAUGGCGCCCAUGAGUAUUUCCAAAGCCUUGUAAGUUGGAUAAAGGUUAAAAUACAAAAGUGUGGUCUUGGAUUAGAAAAUGUAAGACAUAGAAAGAAAACACACAAAGAAGGGAGAGAAAUCAUUAUAGUUACUCUGAGAUGGGAAAUAUAUCAUAAAGAUGUAUAAUUACUAAAAAUAAAAUAAAAGAUAGUUUGUCUGAUGCUUCUACCAAUUAUUACUCAAAAGAUCAUUAUGCUAAACUCAAAACCACUUUGAGAGACAUAUAUAUAUAUAUAUAUCAAGAAUGAACUCAAAAUAUUGCAAUGUACUUUGAGGAAACAUAGAAUAAGAAAAUUGUUUUUAAAUUAAGUUUACAAAUACUUUUUUCUAGAAAAUAAUAAAGAAAUAUGUUAAUACUGUUCUCGUAAUUUUUUUUUUUUAAAUGAUACUAAAAGUAGAGAAGCCACAUUCAUACAUGUUAUUCUAUGAAUAUAUAUAUAAAAGGAAAAGUCUAGUAAAAAAAAAAGUCUAUACAUAGGACAAAAUGCAUUAAACUAGUGUCAAGGUUCCAACAAAUGUCUUAUUCUAUGAAGUCAUGAACAAGUUAUGAUUCAAUUAAAACAUGAAGUAUUUGCUUAGAAACCUGUUAUUCCAUAAAAAGUAUAACUCAUGCAAGUUGAUUAAGGUGAGGAUUGAAAUUACUAAAAAUAUUUUUUGGUAAAAUAAAUUUUGUUAAGAUUUUAUGGUUAUCCUAUAUCCUACUUCAAAUCAAUCUAGAUGAAAUUAUAUUACAUGAUGAGUGUAUGAUCCUUCAUUGAAACUCUCUAACAGGUUAAGACAAUUGUUAAAGCAAAAUCUAAACCCAAACCUCUUGAUCCGCUGGUUUUCUAUAUUGAUUUUCUCUCCAUAAAAUUUUCCCUCCUUCCCUUUGUUUUGUUUAGUCAUGGUGUUCCCCCUUUGUAAGCAACUAGUUUCAAUGAAAUCUUAAAACUAAUAACCCAUGUACAAGAAUCAUUAAUGUUUCACUUGCCAAGAACAAGUUAAACUAAGAUUCACUUGUUUACAAGUCAAUUUCAUAAUCAUUUCAUAAUUAGAGUGAAAAAAAUAUUUUUCUUUUCUAUUAUUAUUUAUGAAUGUGUAGUUAGCAAAUGUUGUAAUCAAUGGUUCAUGAUGAAUGGGAUUUUUGUACAAUAGAAUAUUUGUUAGGCUCACUUUUGAAUUAAGGUCAUGCUUAUCUUUUAACAGAAGUUUUAAAACAUAAUAAAAUAUUUAAUAAAAUUAAGUUCUAUUUAGACUUAAGUCAAAUUACAAUUUAUUUAGUUUUAAGAUAAAUUAAACAAAUAUCAUUGGAAAAGUUCAGGCUUACAAUAUCAAUUUUCCUUUUUUUGCCACUAAUUUUCCUAUUCAGUAAUGAGAUCCUCUAAAGAGCUUAUUGUUUCCUUAUUAUUAAGAGAAAAAUCAUUAAAAAUAAUAAUAAUCAUACAAUUUACGAGGAAAUUAAUAAAAACUAAAAUUAGAAUUUGGACAGCCUUACAUUGAUUAACUAAAGGCAUCUUUUUCCAAAUUGGAAAAUACAAGGGCCAUCAAGAUAGGUUUCACUAUUAAAAGCAAAUUCCAUGAAGGUAACUAGAAUGCUAAUUGAAACUCACAAAAAUAGAAUAAUUUAAAGUCACUUGAUCUAAAUUACUCUAAAGGUAGGCAUGUAGAGAAAGAUAUACAAUUACAGACAAAAAAUGAUCUCUCAUGAGUCCAAGUUGCAAUCCCUUGCCUAAAAAAUGAUACAUGCAUUAGUUUCUUUCCUCAUUAUGCCCUUAGGGACAUAGGAGACUAAACUAGUCAAGUUUGAGAGGUUGAACGCCAAUUGACAUUCAUUGUCAUAAUCAGUAUCCAAAAAAUAUGAUAAGAUUCAUAACACAAUGACUGAGAUAUUCCAUGGAGAUGACAACAUAUUGCUAAAAGAAUUGAUUGGUACCUAAUAUUCCAUGGAAAAAGUUGUAUAGAUAAGAUAGAUCGAACUUGUUAAACUAGCUUGGCGGUUUAGAAAUUCAUAAAAAAGUAGUUAUAUUAUGAACUAGCUUGGUGGCUUUAAUGUCAAUCAAGCAGGACAAAACCAAAAAAUCAAUUAAUUUAUCAUCUUCCUAAAAUCCAUUUCCUUUGUUUUCAUACAAAUUCAUAAUUGAGAGGUUCAUGGGUUCUUCAUUUUAUCUCAUCCAGCUUAUUGGAUAUUUCAGAAGGCAAAGAAAUCAAGUCCCUCCAAGUGCAAGGACAAAUCUCCAUUUAGUACCAAGAAAAUGAACUCGACGAGUACCCCUAUAUACAAUGAGCCACACAAAUUGAAAAUAGACCCCAUAUACAAUAGACCACACAAAGAAUAAAUCAUAGUGGUACAAUGGUCACAUGUAUAUAAAGGACUAUAUAGUUGUAUGAACCACACAAAUUGAAAAUAGACCCUAUAUAUAGUGGACUACACAAAGAAUGAAACAUAGUGAGAAAUUGGUCACAUACAUACAAUGGACUAUAUGGUCCACGACUGUUAGUGGGAAAUAGUCGAUUAUAAAAAAUUCAUAAGACUUCUUGAAAUGAUGAUGCUUAUGGGGAUGACUUAAAAAUUUUAAAGUUUAUUUUAUUUUUUAUUUUUAUUUUUAAAAAAAAGUAGACACAUAGCAAUAGGGUUCACAUGAUUCAACAAUGUAGUUAUAUCCAUUGUUGAGUUAGGAAACUUUUUAAUAACAAGCCUUGACCCCCAAAGAACUAAUCUAAGUGGUUUCUGAUCAGGAAAGACAUACUUUCAACUAACACACUGAAGGUUUGUUUGCAAAUAUUUUAAAAAUUAGUUUUUCUUUUUUAAAACAAAAAUAAUUUUCCAACCUCAAAAAUACAUCUAGCAGAUUUUAGAAUAAAAAUGUCAUGAAAACAAAGUGAUUGGUGUUUUUUUUAUUGCAUUUUGCAUGGUAAAUUACUUUCACCAAGAACUAAUAAAGAAAACCAUUUUUUAGAAUUUCAAAUAGAAUUUUAUUCCUAAAAAAGAUAUAAAAUUGUUUUUAUGAAUUGUUCUCAAAAACUUAUUUUUUAAAAUUAUUUUUGAAAAUAUUAUCCACCAUGCCUCAAAUUUUCUUGUGAGAACCUAACCUUGCAAUUUCUCAUAUCUAAUUUGCAAGAUGCAAAAUAAUGUUGCGAGAUCUUCGCAAGUAACAAGGCAACAAAUCACAUGAGAAUAAGUCUAUGAAAACUUCUCAAUAUUUCAUUUUAUUCUUUCUAUGAUGCAAAGCACAAGUUUCCAAGAUGAAAACUUGUCCACAUAAAAUUUUCCCUUUUUUUCUCAACUCCUCCUAGCUACCUUAAUGGUACUGAAGCUUCUCCCAAGAAAGCAAGACAUAAUGACUGAGGUUAUUUGUUUCAGGCUAGUUUUUUAAUAAGCUCCCUUAUAAUUGCUUACCUAACCUCAAAGCCUACUCUCUUUGGAGAACAAGAGUCUUCCACAUUUUUUAUUUUUUGAAAUCCAUCUACGAACUUUACUAGAAGAUCUCAAUUAGUGCAAGGAAAGAAACAAUUAAUAAAGGUGGAGCCUCAAAAGCAGCUUAUUUUAUUAAACUAUAGCAAUAAAUAACGAGAUUACAUUAUCACCAUUUAUUAUAACAUGAUUAUUUCCCAAAUUAAACACUCACAAUAGACAACUUUUUAUUCUAUUUCUGUUAUGACUGUCAACUCUGGUUGGAUAGAUGUUAUGCGUCUUCUAACACUUGUCCUUGUUUGUCCCAUGGAGGUAAAAGGAUUAGGAGGCAUAACUAAAUUGCCUCCUUCUCUUUCCAACAUUCCAAUCACAAUUUUCAUGGAAGGACGAUCUAUUGGAUACCAUUGGAUACACCAAAGCCCUAUGAUGCUUAGUUUCUUUGCUAUUUUAAUAUCACUUUCAUCCUCAAUUCGGAUGUGUACCUCUUGCUCUUGAUCCAAAUGAUUGUAGAGCCAUUCUGGGAAGUAUGCUUGACUAGUAUUUUCUACUGUAGCAUCAAUAUUCUUCCUUCCCCCUACCAUUUCGAUCAACAACAUACCAAAACUAUAAACAUCUGACUUAUAAGAUACAUUCCCAAAAUUUCUUGAUAACAUUUCUGGUGCAAUAUAACCCAUGGUUCCCCUUGCUGCUGUCAUAGAUACUGCACUUUGCUCCUUAGAGCAUAAUUUGGCUAAACCAAAAUCAGAAAUCUUCGGAUUAGAGUUAUGAUCAAGCAAAAUAUUAUGAGGUUUGAUAUCCAAAUGAAGGAUUCUUUGAUCACAACCUUGGUGAAGAUACUCAAUACCUUUAGCUAUGCCAAUAGCAAUUUCUUGAAGCUUAUGCCAACCCAGAGAAUAAUUAUUACCAAAUGCUGAAAAUAUAAACUUGUCUAGUGACUCAUUUGGUAAAAAUUCAUAAAUCAAAGCUCGCUUAUAUCCAUCUGCACAAAACCCGAGCAACCGAACCACGUUAACAUGAUGUAUGGUACUCAUUGUUCCUACUUCAUUAAUGAACUCUUCUCCAUUUCCUUUGAAACCAUCAAGGAUCUUUACAGCAACAAAAACUUCAUUUGAGAGCUUUCCUUUAUAAACGGUCCCAUAGCCUCCUUGACCUAGUUUGUCCUUGAAAUUAUUUGUGAUCUUUUUAAUAUCAGCAUAGGAGUACCUUGAGGGCUUCAGAGCUCUAUAAUCUUCCAAAAACUUUUGAAUAUUUAUUCUAUGCUCUCUUUUCAACUUAUUAGAGCGAUAGACAAUAAAUAUUAUAAAGAUUCCAAAAGUGAAAUGAAGGAAACCAAGGAUUGCUUCUGCACAUAGGGGAAAAAAAGUUUCUAUAAGUAAAUGAAACAAGAAAAAAAAAAAAAAAAGACAAACUAAGAAUCAUCAUCAUGAUGUCACCCUCAUUAUUGAAAAGAAUAUGAAUAGGAAAUCACCUGUAAGCACCAUUUUAUCCAUUGGAGCACCUGUAAAAGAUAGUAAACUUAUUAGCUUUUUGUAUUCUUUUAAUUAGUAAAAUCAUAAUAGAUUACAUGACGUUGUAACAUGAGUAUAGUUAUUUUUGGUGUAUUUGGAUUUCAACCUUGGCCUUUGCAGUCCUUUCUACAGGUUCGAUUGUUUUAGCUAAGCCUAAUUGUUGUAGCUAGCUUGUAAUGAAUAAAUAAUAUUGCAUGUUCAGAUCCAUUACUAUAGUAGUUAAUUUGGUUCACAUCCAUAAGGGUUCAAUCCAAUUUUAUGGUACAAACAGAGAAUACUAUAGAAAAUUUCAUGUGCAUAUUAACAUCAUAGUAGGAGAUAAGAAAGGGCUUGCAAGGUGAAAAUGAUGAAGAAGCGGGAUUUAGUACCUUUUGCUGGUUUAUCAAUGCAUUCGAUUUCAGGUUCCCUGCUAUUAUUCUUCUUCCGUUGGCACUUGUUUCCUUUUGCUUCACAGUUUCCGCACAUAGGUUUUGACCAAUUCAUAUAAAAUUCCCUUUCAUGAUAAACCAUAUAAUUAUAUGUAUAAUAUUCUGGGAGUGUAGCAUUGAAAAUCUUCCGGCAAGAGGAUAAGUUCACUUCAGCGAGAGAGUAAGAGGAAGGAGCGACAUAAACUGGGUUACUUGAGAGAAUACUGCAAGGGAUGGACCAAAGUUGAUUAUCAGCAUAUGAUAGCUGAUUUGUUAUAUCUUCAGAACAAUUGAAGAAGGAGAAGUUGCUGUAUGUGUACUCAUCUUUGAACUGGAAGGGAAAGGCAGAUAAAUUAAAGUUUAGAAUCUGCCAUUGAAGGUAAUCACGCGGGUACCAGAGAACAAUCUCCUGAGAAGUGUAAUUUAUUUCCUUCACCCAGAGCUUUCCUGAAGAGGGCAGCUCUAGUAUGGUCCGCUUCUCUUCUGAGCAUGAUAGCUCAAACUCCGGAUAUCCACAGUGUUCUGGCUGGUGUUUUAGCCGGAACGGAAACCGGAUGACUGGACCAUGGUGACUGCACCUUGACGCCUUGCACUCAUCAUCUCGGCUUCCUCCAUUAAUCUCUGCAAACAAUCUCAUAAACAAGAAGAAGAAGAAUAAAGAGAUGCCCAUUUUUAAGCAACUGCUUAUCUCUAUAGUUUUAAUUUGCACUGCUUCUCCCCUACUUUAUAUAUAUAAUUAGAUUUGAAAAUUUUGUACAAAGGGAGAAGAACUUUGUUUGUUUAGGAAGCAGGUGCUUUUAGGGAAUACAAAAAAGAUGGAGGACUGCUACAAUAAAAAUUUAGUUUUAUCUCAGAAUAUAAAAUUUACUUGAAAAAAUUGUAGAAAAUUGGUCUAUCAGUAUUUACUAACAUGCCGUAUGAGUAAAGAAAGAUGAUAAAGAUGAUCCUUCUUUAUCCUUUUCCCAUUGUUGAGACCUAAAAAUUAGGUAAUAUUUAAAACAUAAACAAUUCCAAUAUAAACCAUAAUAACUUCAAGCAUCAUUUUUAACAUAGUGAUUCUAAAUAAUGGGAAGCUCACAGUUGGCUGGAUGUGAUGGGAUGAAAGUGUGGUCCCAGUUGAAAAAUCAAACAGUUUGGGGAAGAAUAACAUGUUGAAGAAAGCUGCAAUUAAAACAGAGUAUCUCUCUCUCUGUGGAACUCACAACCCAAAAACAGAGCAUCUCUCUCUCUCUCUCUCUCUCUCUAAAAUUUGAUAAUGUUAAGGGAGGCACAACUCGUGGGAGUAGGCCUCAUGACAGUAGUCAUCCAUGCCUGCUUCCUUUCAGUUUGUGUUGCUAAGCAUCACAAGUACCAGAUAUGCAGCCCCUCUUCCUGCGGAGAUAUGAGGAACAUUUCCUACCCUUUUCGAUUACAAGACGAUCCCCGCAGCUGCGGUUACCCUGAGUAUGAAUUGAUUUGUGAAAACAAUCGUACUAUGAUAAACCUUCAUGGUGGGACAUACUUAGUUACCCAGAUCAACUACCAGAAUUAUACAAUUCGGGUAGUGGAUCCUCGGCGAAAGAAGGACAACUGUUGGAUCUCCAGUCCUCUUAAUUCCAUUGGUGCAUAUUACAAAGAAAAUCCAUAUGAUUCGUCUUCUGCAUGGAGUGCUGGUUAUACUCUGCCUUAUAAAUGGAAUCCUGCUUCUCCUUAUCCUUCUGAACCAAUAUUCUAUACAAUAGUUUUGAUGAACUGUGAGCAGUCAAUCAGGGACGACAACUACCUUCAUAUAAUUCCAUGCAACACUAGAGGCUCUUCCUCUUCCUCACCAACAUACGCUUAUGCAGUUGUCGGAGACUAUGUGUCGGUGGGAGAUAUUCCGUAUUCAUGCACCAUCGGCACAUCUAUUAUUAUUCAACCGUUGAAGUCACUUCCAGAGCCCAGCAAUCUUUCGAUGUCAGAUUUGCAAAAUUAUAUGCUUCUGGGGCUUCAGCUUUCAUUUUUGCCUCUCUUCUGCCACCGCCAAUGCGAAAUGAUAGGGCAAGAUUGCUACGAUAUAAAUUUCACUGGGAACGUCGGCUUUGAAUGCAAGUCAUGGGCCGACCUUACUGGCAACACUCCAGAGAAAAAUGGUGAGUAUAAGAUGCCCUCAUACUUGAUCUUUGGAGUUGGGGUUACAGUGCCUGCAAUCAAGGAAACGCGAUUUUAUAGGAAAUUAAUUCCCUGAAAAUCUGAUUAUGCCUAACCAUCUUAUCUUCCUUGCAUUAGUCUUCAAUAUUUCCAUCCCUAAUUUCACUUGUUUGGUUUAAUCUUGCAGGGCUUUGGACAGGGCUUUGGAAGUUUAUAAGAAUUUAUUUAUUGCUACCCUUCUUUAGUAAGGCUUCAACUAAAAUUUUCUUUGAAAUCAAAUCUUUAUUUUAUUCAUUUUUCCUAUUUUUUUUACAAAAUUUCCUAAUUCAUUGUUAACAGGGGGGUUACUUUCUCCCUACACCUUAAAAUUUGGAGGUAAGGAUGCUUCUUGCAAUUAUUAUUUUCUCAUGAGAAUAAGACAAAAGAUUUAUUUAGAGUUCUUUCAUCUUAAUUAAUCUCUCCAUUUCUUGCUUCUCAAUAAAUUUAAAAUUUAGGCAAUCAAGGGCAUUCUUCCUUGUGACUAACAUGGCACGAAUGGUUUAAUAUAGGACUUCAAGAAGAACUUAGUAAAUGCGAAUUUUACUAUCCCUGCAACACCUCGAUGAUUGGUAAGACUUUCUUCACUUACAUGUCUCCUCUUCUAAUGUUAUUUAUGUCUCUCACUUAUAUUGGUCCAUAUUUUUAAUUUGUUACAUCUCUUCCUUACUAGGCGGCUGGAUACUGCGUAUUAUUGGUAAGCCUCCUAAAUUCCAACUACUAAGUUUUUGUAAAAACAAUAUUGUAAAGAGUUGAUAUGAAAAUUCUUGGAAUUCUUGCAUUUUGAAGGUUGUGCAGUGAACUUCAAAUUGAUUUUGCUUUGUUUGACUGUACAAAGCAAAAUCAAUUUAGAUGUAAUUCAAAAUUUUCUCCCAAAUUUAAAUGUAAUUCAACUCCACUAACAUAUAAAGAAGUCAAAACAAUGAAAUUGAAAUUGGGGUCUUCUUAUCCAAGGCCCCAGUACUUCCAUCAAAUUGCUCCCCAAGCAACAGUACUCUGUAAAGUGAUUGUUAAAGUAGCUAUUUUAUAUGGCUCUCUAACAACACAACAACUUAGUGUUUUACUUUAUAUGAAGGUAGAAUAGUUUUUUCUACCAUAUGUAUUUGUUGGAUUUAACUUUGUUUUUGAUAUCUUGUUCCUUUUUCUUAAAAUAAUCAUUUUUUUUUACAUUUGAUUUGUGUUUAGUCAUAGGAAGGACUAUGCUCGGGAUGUUGUGUCUAUUCGCCUAUUUGAUUUACAAGUUCCACCGGAGACAUCUAUCAUUAGAUGAUAGCAUUGAAGAAUUCUUACGGAGUCAAAAAAAUCUCCAACCCAUCAAGUACUCGUAUUCAGACAUAAAGAAGAUGACUCAUAACUUUGCGAAUAAAUUAGGUCAAGGAGGUUUUGGCUCUGUAUAUAAAGGAAAACUUCGAAGUGGUCGCAUUGUAGCUGUGAAAGUGCUGGUCAUGUCAAAAGCUAAUGGACAAGAUUUCAUCAAUGAGGUUGCAACAAUAGGAAGAAUUCACCAUGUUAAUGUGGUGAGACUUGUAGGAUUUUGUGUACAAGGAUCAAAAUGGGCACUUAUAUAUGACUUCAUGCCUAAUGGUUCUCUUGAUAAGUUUAUUUUUCUUAAAGAAGAAAAUAACACUUUUUUAAGCUGGGAAAGGUUGUAUAAGGUUGCACUUGGAGUGGGGCGUGGGAUUGAAUACUUNNNNNNNNNNNNNNNNNNNNNNNNNNNNNNNNNNNNNNNNNNNNNNNNNNNNNNNNNNNNNNNNNNNNNNNNNNNNNNNNNNNNNNNNNNNNNNNNNNNNGGGCGUGGGAUUGAAUACUUACAUCAAGGCUGUGACAUGCAAAUUCUACAUUUUGAUAUCAAGCCACACAAUAUUCUUCUUGAUGAAGACUUUACACCAAAAGUUUCAGAUUUUGGCCUUGCAAAAUUGUAUUCAACAGAUGAAAGUAUGGUGUCUCUCACUGCUGCACGAGGAACAUUGGGAUAUAUUGCUCCAGAAUUGUUCUAUAAAAAUAUUGGAGGUGUCUCAUACAAAGCUGAUGUUUAUAGUUUUGGAAUGUUGUUAAUGGAGAUGGUGGGGAGAAGAAAGAAUGUGAAUGCAAAUGCAGCGCACUCGAGUCAAAUAUAUUUUCCAUCAUGGAUUUAUGAUAGAUAUGAUCAAGGAGAUAACAUAGACUUGGGAGAUGCCACUGAAGAUGAAAAGAAGCUUGUUAGGAAAAUGGUGAUAGUUGCACUAUGGUGUAUACAGAUGAAGCCCAUAGAUCGUCCUUCAAUGAGCAAAGCUUUAGAGAUGUUGGAAGGAGAGGUUGAGCUAUUAGAAAUGCCUCCGAAGCCUACUCUAUACUCUGAGGAAAUGUUAGUUGAGGAUCAUAUGAGCAAUCCAAUAGAAGCACCAAUUUCCUUGUGCAAUUCCAUGGGUACAAUUACAUUAGAUGGAAGGUAGCAUAGCAUUUUUCCACUUGCAUGCUAUCUCCUAUGAUAUCAUAUGUUUGUAAUUUGGAUUAAAUGUAUGGGUUAUAACUCCUCUUGCAAGGUCCAUAUAAUGUAAUAUUGUCUUGAGGCAUUGGCAUGGUACCCUAGCAAGGUACCCUAGCAACAAGCAUAUAAACAUGUAAUAAUUAUUACCUAUGUUCUAAAUGAUUCAAAUAGCACCAAACGGGAAUAUCAAUUAAUGUUUUAAGGCCUAGUUCCAUAGUACUCAAAUGAUUAUUGUUGUAUUGCAUAGCCUCACAUGACUUAAAUAACACCAAAUAUAUAUAAUAGAAAACAAAGUAAACUAACUCUAAAUAGAAAGAAAAGCAAUAAGAUUAAUAAAGAUAAAAGAAAGGACAUAAUAUUUAUGAUGUACCAUAAGAGUGUCUUAUCUAUGUCCUUGGGAAAUAGCAAUCAAUUCAUUAACUUUUAAAUUAGAAAAUUACAAAAUUGGAAGAAUAUCGAACUAGGAGGCUCUUACUUGGCAAAGAGCUUUCUUUAUACUAAUAUUGGCUAAAGCCACUAAGAUAGCUAAAAGGACAUGGGCUUAUAUAUAAGCCUCCAAGCAUUGACCAAACCAAUUCAUAAUCCAUGUGGGACAAGGAAUCCCUAAACUAACGAAUACUAAUUACACCAAAAACCAACAAAUCUCAACCUUGGAAAAUUAAUACUCCACUACCAACUCCCAAAAUUCAAAUAUUCUCUAACAAAUGAACUUCAAAUGCAUCUCUAGAAACCAUAUACCCAAAAUUUUCAAACUAGUAUGAUAUUAACCAAGCCCAAAUAGUAAGAGGGAGCACUACAGGAAUAAUGCCUUAUAGCAGCGGCUAGUGACCCUCACUAGAGGUCAGAAAUAAUGUGCCUGCAAAUUAUGGUUGCACACCAAGUUGACCGCUACAUGGUGUAGCCAUAGGUGGUGCAACAAUUUCUUAUAGCUGCAGUUGUGAAAGUGACCAUAAACACAAGUUAAAGUAAUAGUAGCAACCAUAGUAAAGUGCAGCAAAUGGUUCUUACAACUGCAUCUUGUUUUUGGCCCCCGCUAAAUGGCAUAUAGUUGCAUUUUGGAGUUGGCCACAGCUAUAAGUUAUCAUUAUUCAUUUUUUGUGACGCUCGUUUGUGAGGCUCCCCAUUAAAUCCUUCAAAACACUAUAAAAAUGGUGUGGAUCAGAAACAUUUUUCUUCUAAGAAUUUGAGUAAGCAUAAUCUUUCUUUUGAUAUUACAUGCAAUUUCAUGUUGCAAUAGUAGCUUGACCUUAUCCCAACCACCUCAUAACUGAAUGACAAUUUUUUCUGGAUCUCUUUCAACACCAAUAGCAAGUUUAGAUUGGGUAAACAGAAAAAAAAAGGGCUAACCCCUUCAAGAUUGACACAAAAGCUUCGCGGUAAUAUUCCAAAAUUUGGAGAAAUACAAAACUCAUAGGUCAACAAAAAUCCUUCUCCUAAACAUGAUAUCUAUUAUAAACCUUUUUUCCAGUAAAAAAAUAAUAGAAUCAUAUAAUGGAUAUAUACAGAUGGUGAAUCCCAAUUAGCAUCUACAAAACAAACUUGUAGGAACACAACAGAGAUUUUUUAGAUCAAUAUAUUGAGAAAAUGACUUGACACUAAAAAAAAAAGGCUAAGAAGCUCUGAGAUUUGAUGUUUUGUUAACAGAGAUCCAUGAGGACAUAGAACAACAUAUUUAAAUAGUUAUUUUUUCUAUGAAUAAGAAAAAAAAUUACAUGAGUAACACCACACCAAUGCUUAUUUGAAUAAAGUGUCAUUCAUGGACAAAAACUAAAGAAACCAAUUGGGACUAGGGGGCAAGGCCAUGAUAUUAUCAAUUACGUUACACUAGGCAGGUUAUAAUUACCAUUGAGUGUAGAAUGAUAUAUUCACUUCUCAGCAACUCCAAUAUCUGAUAGUAUCAUAUUACCCUACAGGCAGAAUACAAACAACGAAUGAAAUGUGAGUUGCAACAAUCAGGCAAUCAAAAUCACAUUUUGAACAAUAUAGGAACCCAACAUCCAAACAAAAUAGUAUCAACAAGAAACUGCUAUUUCUUUCAUGAUACAAGGAAUUUUUGCCUCCAUAAAUUAAUUACUUCAUACGGAGUAAAAUUUAAGGGUACAACAGACACCACCGCCUCAUAAUUCAAGAACCAAACCAUCAAGAAGGCUAUGUUGAAAUCUAAUCACCACAUCCAAAUAGGUAUUUCUCUGGUCUCAACAAGUGACACAAGGAAAUUUUUGUAUCUAGUGAAUACCUUUGCCUACAUCUAGUACAAGGUUAUGUUUUUAUCUUGUAAACAUAUAUAUACAUCCAAACAUGUAUACACACACACGUGUAUGCACUCUGAAGUUCCCUAGAAAUUAUAAGUAGGUUUUGUAGGUACAUGGCUAUGACCAAUUCUUGUCCUAGCUUGUAGAUCUAGGUUAGCCCAAGGGUGUACCUUUUCCAAAUUUUCUCUUUAUGAUGUUGCUUUAUCCCUCUAGGUAUAUAUUGUUAAUGGCCACAACCUCAGCAAUCUUUUUCAUGUUUCCAUGCAUGGAUCAGUUUAAAAAGGAAAAACACAUGAUUUCCAGAGUUUGAACUUCCAUUAUUUUACUAUAGGUACAAGGUUAACAUUUUUUGUAUUCAUGCCCCAGUUUAGUCAUUUUCAUAUUGACAUGUGUUAAUGGUGUUUUCUUACAUUCUUAUUGAUGAAAUCCUCCCUUUCCAAGACCACAAUUCAUUCUAAGUUUAUCAAAAGACAUCAAGGCAUCAUAGAAAAUCAACAAUUCUAAUAUUGUAACAUCUCCAACAUUUGUAGAAAACACAAGAUUCCAUAUUUAAUCUCUAGAUUGUAAAUUAAGGUUCAAAACUCAAAAGCACAUUCAUAUAUACACAAACCUCACUAGCCAUAAGCUUUCGAACAUUAUUAGCAUAUAAUUUUCCCAUACAUUACAAAUGAGCUUAAUUUGAGAGUUAUACCUUGGCAAUGAGAGAACCUGCUUUGGGCAACAAUUCAAAUCAUGACAGAAUUUUUUGGUCUCCAUCUCAUCCUUGUAGCAACAUGUACCUUACUCAUGUCAUUCCUCUUGUGUGGAGCUACCAUUAUCUUACCAAUAACAUGCAAAGUAGACAACAAGACUGAACAAGAAAUUAAAAUUCCUGAAGUUUAGAAUCCUAUACUGUAAGGAGAAUGGAACUAUGAGUGUCCAAGUGUGGUUGCUUGUCAAGAGUUGAAAAUUUGGAUGAUUAUUUGGAGGUUCUAUUCAAAUUGUUGGGCAGAAUGAUUAGAGAAUGAAAAAUGAUUAAGAAAUUUGGACAACAAUAGAGCAAGUAAGAAAAAUUCAGAUCUGAAAUGAAGCAUGAAAUAGACUAAGAAUGAUAAUUAGUUCAUUUGUAGCCCUUGUAAGAAGAUAACUAAGUCUCCAAGUGUAUUAUUACUUUCCUUGUUCAAAAUGGUACACGAGAACUUGUUUCCCCAAAUCCAAAGCACAAUCUUCUUAGGUGUAAGUGGAUUUUUCACAUUAAGCAUUUACCUGAUGGUUCUGUUGACAAGUACAAAGCUCAUCUUGUCACUAAAAGAUUUCAGCAAUGACCGGGCAUUGAUUGUCAUGAUGUUUUCAGUCCUGUUGUCAAACCCACCAUUAUACAUCUUGUUCUUAGUAUUACAAUCAGCCAUGCUUGGUUUCUAUACUAACUUGAUGUUAAUAAUGCUUUUCUUCAAGGCCACUUGUUUGAAGAUGUUUUCAUGGCUUAACCAUUGGGAUUCAUUGAUUGUGAUCAUCCUAAUUAUGUGUGCAAACUUUAAAAAGCUAUCUAUGGUCUCAAGCAAGCACUACAUGCUUAGUAUCAUGAGCUCCACUAGUUUCUUCUCACCUCUAGCUUCACUAACUCUCAUACUUACACUUGACUAUUUGUCCUCAACACUAGUGGUGUCAUGGUUUAUCUCCUUGUUUAUGUUGAUAAUGUUAUCAUAACAAGUGACAGUGAUGGUGUUGUGUAAAAGUUCAUCCUAAUCUUGCCCAACAAUUCUCCCUUAAGGAUCUCGAGUCUCUUUCUUAUUUUCUUAGCAUUAAAGUCACACACCAUCGUCAUGGAUUAUUUCUUUCUCAACAUCAAUAUAUUGGCGAUCUCUUAGCUCACACUCACAUGUCAAAUGCUAAACCAAGCGCCACACCACUUACUACAUCUCCAACUCUUGAACUCUAUACCGGUACCGCCCUCUCUAAUCCAACAGAGUAUCAUACUAUUAUUGGCAAUAUUCAGUAUAUUUCUCACUCGACCUUAAAUCGCUUUUACAAUGAGUAAACCCUCACAAUUUAUGCAUCACCCUACUAGUGCUUAUUAAACUAUUGUCAGACACCUUUUUUGGUACCUUUGUGGCACAUAUGAUCAUGGUUUGGUUCUUUAUCGCAACUCUCCUUUUCUUUUCAUGCUAAAGAUAAUUUUACUUCUAUAAGUGCUUACAUCGUUUACAUUGGUCAUAAUCCUAUCUCAUGGAGUUCUAAGAAGUAAAGAAUUGUUGCACACUCUUCUAUUAAAGUGGAAUAUCGUUUUGUUGCAUAUACAUCUACAGAAUUACAUUGGGUAUGUUCACUUCUUAUUGAACUUAGUGCUUAUGUUCUACAAGUGUCUAUGAUCUAUUGCAAUAAUGUUGAUACUAUUCAUCUCAACUCCAAUACGAUCUUUCAUUCCUGCAUGAAACAUAUUGAAUUGGAUUAUCACUUUAUUCAUGAACAAGUUCAAAGUGAUGCUCUCUGUGUGGCUCAUGUUACUCNAAGAUCAGUUAGUUGAUGCUCUCACNAGCCUCUUCNNNNNNNNNNNNNNNNNNNNNNNNNNNNNNNNNNNNNNNNNNNNNNNNNNNNNNNNNNNNNNNNNNNNNNNNNNNNNNNNNNNNNNNNNNNNNNNNNNNNACACCACUUACUACAUCUCCAACUCUUGAACUCUAUACCGGUACCGCCCUCUCUAAUCCAACAGAGUAUCAUACUAUUAUUGGCAAUAUUCAGUAUAUUUCUCACUCGACCUUAAAUCGCUUUUACAAUGAGUAAACCCUCACAAUUUAUGCAUCACCCUACUAGUGCUUAUUAAACUAUUGUCAGACACCUUUUUUGGUACCUUUGUGGCACAUAUGAUCAUGGUUUGGUUCUUUAUCGCAACUCUCCUUUUCUUUUCAUGCUAAAGAUAAUUUUACUUCUAUAAGUGCUUACAUCGUUUACAUUGGUCAUAAUCCUAUCUCAUGGAGUUCUAAGAAGUAAAGAAUUGUUGCACACUCUUCUAUUAAAGUGGAAUAUCGUUUUGUUGCAUAUACAUCUACAGAAUUACAUUGGGUAUGUUCACUUCUUAUUGAACUUAGUGCUUAUGUUCUACAAGUGUCUAUGAUCUAUUGCAAUAAUGUUGAUACUAUUCAUCUCAACUCCAAUAUGAUCUUUCAUUCCUGCAUGAAACAUAUUGAAUUGGAUUAUCACUUUAUUCAUGAACAAGUUCAAAGUGAUGCUCUCUGUGUGGCUCAUGUUUACUCCAAAGAUCAAUUAGUUGAUGCGCUCACCAAGCCUCUUCCACAUGCAUGAUUUCUCACUCUUCAAGCCAAGAUUCAACGCUCCUCCUAGAGCCCCAUCUUGUGGAGGCAUAAUAGAGAAACUAAAUAAUUUAAAUAUUAGUUUAUCCUUAAUUUAACUAUUAAUAUUUAUCUAUUAAUUAUUAGUUUGAAUUAGAGUAAAAUAUAAAGUUUGAAUUAGAGUAGAAGUGUACUAUUAGUUUGAAUUAGAGUAGAAGAUAGAAUUUGAAUUAUAGUAAAAUUGAAAUGUAUUUAUAUAUAAAUAUUCCACAUUAUCAAUGAGAAUGUAAGUGUGGAUCCCGCAUUUCGACUCAUGUGUUUCCCACUCGAUGGCAAACUCGAUUUAUUAUUUGAAAAAUGAUUUUUAUUGUUUUAGAAAAAUGACUUGGAGUCACCACUUAUUUUUGUUUUAUUUUAAAGGGUAAACAAAAUAAGAAAGAAAAACUCUAAGUCCGACUCCUUAUUUUGGAAAAGAUGGUCUGUGAAAAACCGGAUUGGGUUUGGGGGUCAAGUUAUUAUUCGGAAAGGUACGGUAAAGACCGUAGCACCCCUCUAAGCCCCUAAAGUCGGGUCUCUACUAAUGAGAUGAAACAAUAAUGAUAAUGGAUGAGUAAAUCAACGAAUACCCGGAAUAAAUCAUGCACACGUGGGUAUCAGAACAUGCAUAGACACUGAUCAAAGUGAAAGUGGGUACAUACUUGGGUAACGAGCCACCAUGCGCUAUCAAGAGAGAGAGUUAGUGCACAAUUAAGGAAUGAUAGCAUGCAUGUCAGGGAGCAGGAUAAAUCAAUCAUGUAUGAUAAUCAAAUCAAUCAAUCAGUCAAUCAAUUAUAAAAUUAUUUAUGUGGGCCCCCACCAAUGCUCGAUUUAUUUUAGCAUGAAUUAAUUUCAUAAAUUCCAUUAAUUGGAAUUACAAAAUUAAAAUCUUGCUUAUUUUAAAACAAGGGGGAUGUAGAAAUUGUUUGCCAGAAGGAAAGAUGACAACAAAGUUUUACUAAAAAUGGGACUCUUGGGUGAUCCUAAAAAUUCUAAGGAUGAAAUAUGGAGAAAUUGGAAUUAUUUGAAAACCUGAAAUCGAGAAAGUAUUUACCAAAACGAGGUAUAGGGAAACUGCUUUCAAAAUCAAGGGAUGAUGAACUAGGUUGAUAGCUCAUGGCAUAAGAAAAGGAAAAAAAUUGCAUGCCAAAGGUGGCCAUGCAACUGGAAGCAUGCAGUGGUGAGCUUAGGGAGGAAUGAUGCUGGCAGAGAUGUGGGCUCCAUCUCUUGAAUCUGAUCUAUCAUCUUCUCUCCUUUGUCCAUGUCACUACCACUGUCACCAAACCAUAGGCCUUCUAAUCACGUGAUGACUCCACUGUAGACUGUUUGAUGCAUUCUUAUAUAAACUCUUAAAACACCUUUUGAGCUACAAUCAAUGGAGCCUCGUCUCGGCACAUACAUUUGAGUAUUAUUUCGGGAAUCUGAGUGAUAAACCCCUAAAUUUCAGCAUCCCCUGAGUCCUUGGUUAGCAAAGCUUCCAACUCCUGUGCAGCAAUUUGGUACUUAUCCAAUGCAUCUCCAAUAUUCAACAAGGGUUUAGAGAUGCACUCCACGGAUGUUCUGUGGUAAAAGCAGCAGGCAAUGAUAGUGCAGCAACUCCCAAUCCUUUUCCAACAUUAGAGGCCUCCAUUGGAUGAACUUCAAGGGUAGGAGCCAUUGACGAAAAUGAAACAGAGUUAAGUUUAGAGCCAUGAGGAGAAACACCAUCCAUCACUCCAAUGCGUGCAGAAGGGCCACUAAGGAAUUGGGCAGAACUGGGAUCCAUAUCCUCAAGAAUUAGAUCCAAGAGCUGAGUAGCACUCGAUCCAGUGGCCCCAGUCCCAGUAGAGUAGAAGCCUAGGCUAAGCUGUCUUGAUGAUGAAGCAUAAGCACGAGACAAACCAGAACUGCCAGGAGCCACCAGAUGCAGCAUGUGAUCCAGCAGGAACUGCAUUUGAGCUCUGUCCAGAUUGAUUUUGCCAGAGAAACCAAACGAAAUCCUCAUAAACCCGCUGUUGGGAAUGGGACAAAUGACCAGGUCUGGGGUGGAGGGCGUGGGUAUGAAGGUUAGUUGGGUUACCUGUGGUGGAUACGUGUGGAAAUGAGCAAGGGAUGAUGGUAUAACUAUGGGCUCGAUGAGUAUAUGGAAUAAGAAAUGGGUAUGGUUACUUAAUUGGGUGGGUAUGAGAGAUAUAGAUGGAUGAAGGUGAUGAGCAUGACGGCGGGAUAGGAUGAAGAAGAGUGUGAGAGGAGCGACAGAUGACCAUGCACGGGAGGAUUGACGUUAAAUAGAGAACGAGUGGCGAGAGAGAGGGAGAGACACGGGUUAGUGCUCUUACUCAAGGGUGGCAUGGGUGAUGGGAGCAGGGUGUUUGGGAUGGGUAAGGUAAGUUGUAGAUGAGCCCAAGACUGAGGGAAGUGGGUCGCUGCAGCAUUUGGAGAUGGUAGUAGCCAUCCCGUGCAUGAGUUUCUAGACUCGGAUAGGUAGCGCUCAUUGCUUGCAUCCUCUUUGGGAGAUGAUAGCGAUUUCAAGGCUGACGGGAUAUCAUUGGAAGCAUCAAGAGUCUCUUUCCAUGCUCCCAACAUCUGAUUCAUUGUAUCUUUGCAUUAUGAUUUCCACAGAAACCCCAACAUGUAACAGAGACAAGACGCAGAGGUAGAGAUCCUCAUAAAUGUAUGAGUCAAACAUAGCAGGCGUUCCAGCAGCUUUCUUGUCCUGUGGGCCAUGGCAUGGCAACCUCUUCCUCAUCCACAUGCUUAUCUUGAUUAUUUAUUAUAAGUGCCAUUGAUGGCUCAGCAGAUAAGUGCAAGGUGCACCAUUUCUUGGCCAAAGGAACGCCUAUACAGAAUAUGACUACGCUCGUCCAGAAGCCGGCGUGACUUUGGGUCAUAUGGGAUUUCCUUGUUGGUCUUGGAUCGGUUUCAUUGGAGGGUGCAACCAAGGGAAUCUUUGACGGCCUGGUUAGAUUAGGACCGCUGGAUAUGGAAGUUGAGAGAUGCGUAGAGACGGACGACGAAGGGAGGAUGAGAGGGUUUAGAAAGAAUGAGAAGGGCAAAUGUGGUGGUGAAGCAAGUUACGGGCAGUGGGUAUGGAGGAUGGGAAGGUGAUAGUGAGAGAAAAGGCAUGUGGGGGGUAUGAUCAAUGGGUUUAGAAAAUGGUUGUGAAGAAAUGAUGCAGUGGAUAUGACGAAGAAAUGAAAGUGUUAGAUUCGGCAUUUCAGGUGGGCAUCUGGAUAUGGAAAUGGGGUACUGGCUCACGAUGCUAGAGGUUGGUUGUAUACCAGAGCAAGGAUUCCAAAUUGCCUCAAUGCUGCCACUGUGCACGAAACCUAGCCGGAUAGCAAACACUGUAUACGUAUAUUUUCAAUGAUGGCUCACUGCAGCAAUAAUAUCCCAAUGCCAAUUAACUCUCAUACAACGAUUUUGGCAUAUAUUAAACAGAUCCUAACGCCCGUUCUACAAUCCUUGGAACGACGUGUUACAGCAUGCAAGAGAAAUGGGAGAUCCUGGGGGAAUAAACUGGCUAGCGAAGUCCAUGGGUCAUAUUGGACUUGCACUCAAUGUGAUUCAUUAACGGGGACUGUAAGACCAUGAAUCUUAUACACCCAAUACUUAUGGUAUCAAGUCGAGCCUGUCAUCCAUGGCGUUUCGACCCUGGCAGCUUAUUCAUAAAGUUCCACACUAUCUCAAACUUCCAGCGUUGCGUCCUUGUCAUUAUGCUUCCAAAAAACGGGAUAAAGUGCACGACUGCGCUAGAUCUCAUAUACGGAAUCGUCCUCAAGCAUGACCCAUCAUCGAAACGCCUUUCAAUUAUCUGAGAAAACUUGAUUAAUAUAUUCUGCGUUACCUUCAGCAACAUUAGCAAUCACAUUCAUUGUCUAGGAGGAUAACUAGUUGCUCUUCGUGGUGAGUUCGGUGUCGUUUGAGCUUCUCCAUCACAUCAAAGGAUAGCUAGCCAAAAGGGAAAUGAUACCAUAGAUGAUGAAGGAGUGGCACAGACAGAUGAAGCAGUCAAGAGGUAUCCUUAGAAGCCCUCUGCGGAUGACAUUUUAAGGGCUUUGUGAUACUCUGAAGCAUAGAUACUCAGUUAUGACCUCCAAUCCUGAUAUAGAACACUCAAAACAGGCUCAAUCUACUCAACAUGCUCUUCGGGCACUCCAUAGAAACUAAGCACCUGUAAUCGCAGCUCCCACUCCUUGGAUUUGCGUUCUCAGAUUGGAGAUGCACCAGUCAAAACACGUCGCGAACAGACACCAAAACAGAGAAAAAAUAGAGAGGAAAAUUGAUAGAACCAAACAAAGAUGGGUGAGAUGGGAGUUGGUUAAGCAAGACCUGGUCUCAUAAUUCAUCCACAGGCUUACCAACUAGUGGGGGAAGAAAUGGAUUUAAAGAGAAAUGAUAAGAAGAAGACCUUGAGAUACCACGCGGAUAAAACUGGUCCAGAUUCACAUCAUUUCUCUCAAAAUGAACCCAGAAAAAAAUAUAUGAACAUGUAGUCAUAGCGAAUCCAAUGAAAACAUAAAAAUCAACAAGAGCAACCACAUGAUAUCCACAUGCAAAUUGCUAAAUAACACCCAGCUAGGAAUAAAGGAGAGCAAAUAACAAAAGAAUAAUGGAGAUAAAUGAGUAGCAUACCUGGAAAAUGCUCUUUCGAGGUUCUAUCCUCUAAACUAUCAGAAGAAAACCUUAUCUACUCCUCCGUAGGUAUAGUAUCCGCUUCCCCCUCAACGAAACUUGCUCCUCAAGCUCUCUCCCUCUCUCUCUCAAGUCGCUCUCUGUUUUUUUCCUCACUCCCUGAAAAGAUACAAUGCUUCAGAAAACUCUCUCAAAAGCUCUUGGAGUCCUCCCCUUCUCAUUGUUCUUCCAAAAACCAACCAAAAGCCCUCUUGAAAAGAUCUUACUCUCCUCUCAAUAACUCUCAAGAAUGGCUGCCCAAAAGCACCUCCUCUAGCUCCCUCUCCUAGCUCCCGAAAACUCCCCCCUCCUAAUCACAGCCCAGCCUCCUCAAAAAGCCAUCUGCUCUCUGCCAACCUCGUCUUUUCUUUCUCUACCAGAUUUGCCCCUCUAACAAUAUCUCCAGAAACAACUACCUCCAAGCACCACUACUCUCCAGCCUCCCAUUUCUCUCUCAUACGCGUCUCAUAACGGCUGCAGAAUCCCCUUCCAGCAUAACGGCUUGUCGCUUCCUUUUCAGAAUCUUCUUUAUAGAUGUCGUAUCCUCAUUGGUCCUCCAAGCUACUAGCCUGGUUCCCUAGCAGCCAUCCACGAGUGGACAAGCGGUUCAUUGAGGGGCCUCCAUUUGGUAAGAAAGUGACCUACAGAAACGCUAAAAAGUGAGGCCCCAAAAUGGGGGUCUACAGUAAGGCAAUAAUUUCCAAAAUUCUCUUUAAUUAAUUAAAAAAAAAAUCAUUAGAAUUGAUGAUUUUUUAUCUUGACUUUACUAUACGACAAGAGUUUAAACAUUUCUAAUUCAAAUUUGAUGAUUUAAACAUUGUUAUUUCCAUUUUCAAUGAAGGAUUGAAUUAAUAUAAUUUAUGGAAUUUUAGUUUGUUAAGAAUCGGAUAGAUCAUGAGGGAAAAAUAAUGAGGUAUUGUAGACCCCCCUUUAGAGUGAUUUUAUUUUAUGAUUUUUCUUCUUCUGACCACCUGGGGAUUGAGGCUGAUGGGGGCGGUGAGAUUAGACGGAAUGCAGCGGAUAGCAGUGGAGCCGAGGAUGGCUUGCUGAGGAAGACACAAACAGAGGAAAAGAAAAAGAGAUAUCUGGGGGCUUUUCGGGAGAUGGUAAAGGGAGACAUACCGAGGAAACGAGCAGGAAAGUGGAAUAACUCAGGUAUGGAUUCUGAAAACCGGAUUCAUUAAUUAAUUAAUUUAUUUGUUUGUUUUUGAUGCCAUGUUAUGAUAGUUUCUAUGCAUGAGGAUUUUCAUUUUUGAUGUCUGAACAUGCAUAUUGUGGAUCCUUGUAAUUUAUUUAUUUUUUCUGGAAUCUGAGCUUACUUUCACCCACUCUGUGCUUGAUUCUUAAUUUCUCUUCUGAGCUCAUUGAUUGAUAUAUGGAGCGAGGCUGGUACGGGUCCAUUUUUCUCCUAUUAUUUGUGCUCUGUUUCGCUGUUUUCCCCUGUUCUUGAAAUGGGUAUUGGGGCCUGGAAACGCGGAAAUCUUAGAUAUUGUUCAUGUCAGCAAAGAGGGUGCAUUUCCCAUGCUCUCGACUUAUCAGAGAAGGAGUUUGUCCGAAGCAUUAUAUUGCCAUGGCGAGGGUGUUUACGCUGUUUCUCUUGGCUCUUCUUGCCAUUUCCAUGCUUCACACCAUUGUAUUAGCUUCGCAUGGCCAUGGCAGUCACCACUACGACCAAAAGAACUAUGGUCCGGGGAGUCUGAAGAGCUUCCAAUGCCCGUCACAGUGCUCGAAGAGGUGCAGCAAGACACAGCACUACAAACCUUGCACGUUCUUCUGUUAGAAGUGCUACCAAAAAAAGUGCCUGUGCAUUCCCCAGGGUAUUAUAGUAAUAAAGUCGUUUUCCCAGGCUACAACAAUUGAAGGCCAAGGAAGGAGGACCAAAAUGCCCCUGGUUGUUACCUUAUUUACCCUUCUCACCCAUUUUAAGUUGGCCCAUUUGCUUGCUUUAAUUUUUAAGUAAUUUUCAUGUUUCCAGCUUAAGUAAUUUAAUUUUUAAAGCCCUAAUUUCUUGGUAAAUCUUCUAAAUCCCAAUUUCUAAAUCCUAUUUUCAAAACUUACAUCUUCAAGCAAUCCUUCAAAAAUCCCAUGUCUUAAUUUAAUUUUUCAAUCCUAAAAACUAUAGAAUUCGUUUAAAUCUUAUUUUCAUCAAUUAGAAUUAUAAUCCCGUAUCUAUUUAGUUAUUUAAAGUUUAAUCCUUCAAAAAUUCCAUGUUUUAAUUUAAUCUUUUAAAUCCUAAAAACUCUACAAUUCAACUAAAUCUUAUUUUCAUUAAUUGGAAUUAUAUAAUUAUUUAAAGUCUAAUAUUUCAAAAAUUCCAUGUUUUAAUUUAAAUUUUCAAUCCUAGAAAUUCUACAAUUCGUUUAAAUUUCAUUUUCAUCAAUUAGAAUCAUCAUCCCAUAUUUAUUUAAAGUCCAAUCUUUCAAAAAUCUCAAUUUAACUUUCAACCUUAGAAAUUCUAUCAUUCGCCUAAAUGUUAUUUUCGUUAACUAGUAUUCUUAUCUCCUAUCUUUUUAUUCAUUUAAGGUCCAACUCUUCAAAAAUUCAACGUCCUAAUUUAAUUUUCAAUCUUAAAAUUCCACUACUCCUUUUCUAUUCGUUUAAAAUAUUGUUUCCGUUAAGUAGCAUUAUUAUUCCAUAUUAUCUAUUUAUUCUAAUCGUUAAAAUUUAAUUCAUCAGAAUCCGACUUCCAAAUCUAAUUCUCAAUCUCAAAAACUCCACCGUCCAUAUAUCACUGUUUAAUGAUUAUUUUCGUUAUUAUUAUUAUCCUAUUCAUUUAUUUAUUUACUUAUUCAUAUAUUUAAAAUCUCAUCUCCAAAUAAUUUCUCAAAAUUUCAAUCUCUAAAUUCAAAUCUCCAAUCUCUAAAAUUCUAUUUUUCGCAAUUAUUUACCUAAUCUUUAUAAUUUCACCAUUAUUAUUAUUCCAUUCAUUUAUUUAUUCACUCAUUCAUUUAUUAAAAUUUUGUCUUUAAAUAAUUCUUCAAAAUCCCGAUUCCCAAAUUUAGUUCUCCGAAAUUCCAAUUCCUUUCAAAUUUAAUUUCUAAAAUUCUCAUUCUUGUAUUUAAUUUCAAAAUUCCAAUUUUCAAAUAAACUUUAAAACUCCAAUUUUCUAGUGAUCUUCGAGAUUCUAAUUUUUCAAUUAAAUUUCAAAAAUCUAAUUUUCUCUCAAAUAGCUUUAAUUCCGCUCUGGUUUUCAAAUGAUCUUCUGCUCCUCUUGGUUUUACAUAAGCAAGAAUAAUGAAUUUUCAUAAUUCCAAAAUAAUGGAAUUUGUGAGAUCAAUUCAUGCAAGAUCAAUCGGGCUUUGGUGGGGGCCCAACAUACGUGAUUUCCUUAUGAUUGAUUGAUUGUUUGUUUGAUUUAAUUGCCAUACAUGAUCGAUUUUAUUCUGCUCUAUGACAUGCUCGAAAUUAUUCCUUAAUUGUGCGCUAACCUCACUUCUUGAUAGCGCUUUAUGGAUCACUGCCCAAGUAUGCAUCCACACUCGCUCGGGUCAUUUUCUGUAUGCAUGUUUAGAUUCUCACAUGUGCAUGAUCACUUUGAGUAUUCAUUGAUUCCCUCAUCAAUUGUCAUGAUUGCUUCAUUUUAUUAGUAGAGACCCGACUUUAGAGACUUAAAGGGGUGCUACGGUCUUUACCGUACCUUCCCGAUAAGUAACCUGACCCCCGAACCCGAUCCGGUUUUUCACAGACCGCCUUUUCCAAAAUAAGGAGUCACACUUAGGGUUUUUCUUUCUUAUUUUGUUUACCCUUUCAAAAAUAAAACAAAAAUAAGUGGCGACUCCAAGUCAGUUUUUUUUUAAUCAAAUAAAAAAAUCAAUUUUUCAAAUAAAAAUCGAGCUCGCCAUCGAGUGGGAAACGCAUGAGCUCGAAAUGCGGGGUCCACAGGUAUGCAAUAGAAGAAUUAUGGUUUCAAUUUUGAAAUUUUUUGGAUUGAUUUUAGAUUAAUUUCUUAUUCAAAUUAAAUUAUUUGUAUAUUGUCUUGUUUUAUUUUUAAGUAAUAAUCCAUCAAAAAUAAAUAAAUAUCUAAAUUUUCUUAAGAAAUUGAAAAAAAAAAUGAAAAGAGAACCUAUUUGAAUCAUAUGAUUCAUAUUAUUUUUUCUUAAUAACAUAUUUACUAAUUUACAUAAAGUUGUCCAUAAUUUUCAAAAAUAGAUUUAAUCUUGUUAUAAGUAAUCAACAACUAUCUUUUUGUCAAAAACAAUUACCAAAUAUGGUUCUAAGUUUGAAAAUUUGUUUUCAAAAACAAUCCUCAAGCAAAUUCUUAGGUCCAUUUGGCUAUGUUUUUUAAAACUUGUUUUUAAAAUAGCAAACAAAAACAGUUUUUUUUUUUUAAUUUUUAAAAAGCAAGAGCAUUUGGCAAAUGCAUUUCAUAAAAAACUUGUUUGAAUGAAAGAAUUUGUAUUGUUUUUAAAGACAAUGUCUUACUUUUAUUGUAUAAGAAUUUUAUAAAUUUAGUUUAUAUUAAUGUAAAAUCAAAUUCAAGUUACGUUUCAUUUAAAAAAAAUAAAAAAUAAAUUUACAACUAUAUAUAAGUUAAAGAUAAAUAAUUUUUUUUAAUUAUGAAAUAAUUUUUUUAUUCUAGUGAAACAAAAAUUACUAUUUUAGUAUUUAUUUUUAAUACAAAUCAAAUAUGUCCUUUAAUUUUAUUUUUUUUCCAUUUGGCCAUGAUUUUUUAAAAAUUGUUUUUUAAGUUAAAGAACAUAAAACAAUUUUUUAAUGUUUUAUAAAAUAAGGUAUUUGUCAAGUUGUUUAUAAAAAAAAUGCUUUAAAAAUAAAAAUAAAACCAAUUUGUUUGGAUAAGUUGUUUUUAAAAAUAAAUUUUCUAUUUUGAUUUUAUAAAAAUAUUAUAAAUUCAAUUUAUAUAACAUUAAUUAAAUUUAAUUGAAGUCUUAUUGAAAAUAAAAAUAAUUUUGUAUUACAAAGAAAUUCAAAAGAAAUAUUUUUUAGUAAAACAUGAAUAGUAUAUAUUAUAAUAAAAUCAUCAAUUAUAUUUUUAAUAAAAAAUAUACUAUUUUAUUAUAUGUUAGAAACAUAAGAAUAUUAACAUAUUUUUGUAAAAAAAAAUGUGCCGUAAAAAUAAAUAAUAAUAAUUUAAAAAUAAUAAUUGUCAAUAGUAUUUUAUUUAAAAUGAAUAAUGAAUAAAGUUUAACUUUUUAACAUGUGAGUCAAGUUUUAUUACAUGCAUACAUUUAGUACUCAAUUUCUACAAUUAAUUGGAUCAAUUUUUUUAUUGCAAAUUAUUCUUAAAAGUUAAAGGAUUUGUUAAAAAAAUUAAAUUAUUAAUUAUGUUUUACUUAAUUUAUAAUUUAUUUACCUAGGAAAAAAAAAUUUUAAAUAGUUGUAUGUAUAGAAGAAAUAUUAAAGUCAUGACUCAUUAUACAUCAAUUUUAUUCUUCCUUUUUUUUUUUUUUUGCUUUGAUGACUAAAUGAUCUAUUUUUGAGUUCCAAACUAAGCACCUGUAAUCGCAGCUCCCGCUCCUUGGAUUUGCGUUCUCAGAUUGGAGAUGCACCAGUCAAAACACACCGCGAACAGACACCAAAACAGAGAAAAAAUAGAGAGGAAAAUUGAUAGAACCAAACAAAGAUGGGUGAGAUGGGAGUUGGUUAAGCAAGACCUGGUCUCAUAAUUCAUCCACAGGCUUACCAACUAGUGGGGGAAGAAAUGGAUUUAAAGAGAAAUGAUAAGAAGAAGACCUUGAGAUACCACGCGGACAAAACUGGUCCAGAUUCACAUCAUUUCUCUCAAAAUGAACCCAGAAAAAAAUAUAUGAACAUGUAGUCAUAGCGAAUCCAAUGAAAACAUAGAAAUCAACAAGAGCAACCACAUGAUAUCCACACGCAAACUGCUAAAUAACACCCAGCUAGGAACAGAGGGGAGCGAAUAACAGAAGAAUAAUGGAGAUAAAUGAGUAGCAUACCUGGAAAAUGCUCUUUCGAGGUUCUAUCCUCUAAACUAGCAGAAGAAAACCUUAUCUACUCCUCCGUAGGUACAGCACCCCCUCAACGAAACUUGCCUCUCAAGCUCUCUCCCUCUCUCUCUCAAGUCGCUCUCUGUUGUUUUCCUCACUCCCUGAAAAGAUACAAUGCUUCAGAAAACUCUCUCAAAAGCUCUUGGAGUCCUCCCCCCCCCUCCCCCUUCUCACUGUUCUUCCAAAAACCAACCAAAAGCCCUCUUGAAAAGAUCUUACUCUCCUCUCAAUAACUCUCCAGAAUGGCCGCCCAAAAGCACCUCCUCUAGCUCCCUCUCCUAGCUCCCGAAAACUCCCCCCUCCUAAUCACAGCCCAGCCUCCCCAAAAAGCCAUCUGCUCUCUGCCAACCUCGUCUUUUCUUUCUCUACCAGAUUUGCCCCUCUAACAAUAUCUCCAGAAACAGCUACCUCCAAGCACCACUACUCUGCAGCCUCCCCUUUCUCUCUCAUACGCGUCUCAUAACGGCCUGCAGAAUCCCCUUCCAGCAUAACGGCUUGUAGCUUCCUUUUCAGAAUCUUCUUUACAGAUGUCGUAUCCUCAUUGGUCCUCCAAGCUACUAGCCUGAUUCCCUAGCAGCCAUCCACGAGUCGACAAGUGGCUCAUUAAGGGGCCUCCAUCUGGUAAGAAAGUGACCUACAGAAACGCUAAAAAGUGAGGGCCCAAAAUGGGGGUCCACAGUAAGGCAAUAAUUUCCAAAAUUCUCUUUAAUUAAUUAAAAAAAAAAUCAUUAGAAUUGAUGAUUUUUUAUCUUCACUUUACUAUACGACAAGAGUUUAAACAUUUCUAAUUCAAAUUUGAUGAUUUAAACAUUGUUAUUUCCAUUUUCAAUGAAGGAUUGAAUUAAUAUAAUUUAUGGAAUUUUAGUUUGUUAAGAACCGGAUAGAUUAUGAGGGAAAAAUAAUGAGGUAUGCAAUAGAAGAAUUAUGGUUUCAUUUUUGAAAUUUUUUGGAUUGAUUUUAGAUUAAUUUCUUAUUCAAAUUAAAUUAUUUGUAUAUUGUCUUGUUUUAUUCUUAAGUAAUAAUCCAUCAAAAAUAAAUAAAUAUCUAAAUUUUCUUAAGAAAUUGAAAAAAAAAAAAAACAUGAAAAGAGAACCUAUUUGAAUCAUAUGAUUCAUAUUAUUUUUUCUUAAUAACAUAUUUACUAAUUUACAUAAAGUUGUCCAUAAUUUUCAAAAAUAGAUUUAAUUUUGUUAUAAGUUAUCAACAACUAUCUUUUUGUCAAAAACAAUUACCAAAUAUGGUUCUAAGUUUGAAAAUUUGUUUUCAAAAACAACCCUCAAGCAAAUUCUUAGGUCCAUUUGGCUAUGUUUUUUAAAACUUGUUUGAAUGAAAGAAUUUGUAUUAUUUUUAAAGACAAUGUCUUACUUUUAUUGUAUAAGAAUUUUAUAAAUUUAGUUUAUAUUAAUGUAAAAUCAAAUUCAAGUUAAGUUUCAUUUAAAAAAAAUAAAAAUUAAAUUUACAACUAUAUAUAAGUUAAAGAUAAAUAAUUUUUUUUAAUUAUGAAAUAAUUUUUUUAUUCUAGUGAAACAAAAAUUACUAUUUUAGUAUUUAUUUUUAAUACAAAUCAAAUAUGUCCUUUAAUUUUAUUUUUUUUCCAUUUGGCCAUGAUUUUUUAAAAAUUGUUUUUUAAGUUAAAGAACAUAAAACAAUUUUUUAAUGUUUUAUAAAAUAAGGUAUUUGUCAAGUUGUUUAUAAAAAAAAUACUUUAAAAAUAAAAAUAAAACCAAUUUGUUUGGAUAAGUUGUUUUUAAAAAUAAAUUUUCUAUUUUGAUUUUAUAAAAAUAUUAUAAAUUCAAUUUAUAUAACAUUAAUUAAAUUUAAUUGAAGUCUUAUCGAAAAUAAAAUUAAUUUUGUAUUACAAAGAAAUUCAAAAGAAAUAUUUUUUAGUAAAACAUGAAUAGCAUAUAUUAUAAUAAAAUCAUCAAUUAUAUUUUUAAUAAAAAAUAUACUAUUUUAUUAUAUGUUAGAAACAUAAGAAUAUUAACAUAUUUUUGUAAAAAAAAAAAAAUUUUUGCUGUAAAAAUAAAUAAUAAUAAUUUAAAAAUAAUAAUUGUCAAUAGUAUUUUAUUUAAAAUGAAUAAUGAAUAAAGUUUAACUUUUUAACAUGUAAAUGAGUCAAGUUUUAUUACAUGCAUACAUUUAGUACUCAAUUUCUACAAUUAAUUGGAUCAAAUUUUUUUAUUGCAAAUUAUUCUUAAAAGUUAAAGGAUUUGUUAAAAAAAUUAAAUUAUUAAUUAUGUUUUACUUAAUUUAUAAUUUAUUUACCUAGUAAAAAUUUUUUUUAAAUAGUUGUACGUAUAGAAGAAAUAUUAAAGUCAUGACUCAUUAUACAUCAAUUUUAUUCUUUUUUUUUUUUUUUGCUUUGAUGACUAAAUGAUCUAUUUUUGAGUUCCAAAUUAUUUUUAAAAAAAAUUAAAUUCAAUAAAAACUAUCACUUGAUUUGAAGUUUAUUUUUCUAGUGGAAAAAUUUAUAAAAAUAUAGUUAUGUGUAGAAAAGAAAUAAUAGAGUCAUUAUAAACUAAUUUUUAUCCAUGAAAUUAUGGUAUUAAUAAAGUAUUGUUAAUAAAUCCAACCUAUUAAAUUUUAUUUAAUUUUAAGUUCAUUUACUUAGUGAAAAAAAAAAAAUCAUAACAUAAUGAUUCUAUAUAGAAGAGAAAUAUUAAAGUUGUCUUAAAUUAAUUUUUAUUCAUAAUAGAAGAGAAAUAUUAGAGUUCUUAUAAAUUAAUUUUUAUUCAUAACAUUCUAAUAUUAAUUGGGUCACUAUUUAAGUUUUAAAUUAUUUUUAAAAUUUUCUAAAUUCAUUAAUGAAUUUAACACAUUAAGUGUUGUUUAAUUUGGAAUUCAUUUAUCUAAUGAAAAAAAUCAAAAAUAAUAAUUCUAUAUAAAAGAAAAAUAAUAGUUAUUUUAAACUCAUUUUAUUGGUAAAUUUUUUAUAUUAAUUGAAUCAGUAUUUAAGUUUUAAGUUGUUAUAUAUAGUUACUAUCUAUUUCACUUUAUUUUUAAAAAAUUAAAAAUAGAAAAACAAUAUCAAUGUUAUGAAUUUUUAAAAAUUAUUUUCUAUUUUUAAAUCACUCGUCAGAUGGGCUCUUAUUUUCUUAUAAAUUACCAUAUUGAAUUUUUGGGGCUUGACAUGGUAACUAGAAGAAGCCAACCAAAAUUAAAUUUGCAACCCCUCCUAAAAUAUUAAUCCAACAAUACUCAAAAAUCAUUUUUGGUCAGCUCUCCCUCUUUUAUGAGCUUGAAGCCUUCCACAACAUCAUUUCUCUCAAACUAGCCAUUGGGGAAGACCGUGAUAACUCUCUCUCUUCCCUCUCCCGCCCAACCCCUCCCCUCCUUCCACCUUCUUUCAAAACCCUAAGCCCUCCCCGCCAAAACAUUAUCCCCAACCCGCAUUCUCACAAAAACCCCAACUUCGAGCCCCUCAAGAACCGUCAGAUCCGCCAACUCGACGUGGGCCACCUCAACCAUGCACUCUCCUCCCUUGAUCUCAUGACCCUGCAAAACGCCCCACCAGACCUCACCACCUACUCCAUCCUCCUCAAGUCCUGCAUCCGAUUCCGCAACUUCCAACUCCGGAAACUCGUCCACCGGAAGCUAAUUCAGUCUGGACUUGAGCUCGACUCGGUUGUGUUGAACACUCUGAUCAGCUUGUACUCCAAAUGUGGCGACACCGCAACCGCUAGGUUGAUUUUUGAGGGAAUGGAAAAUAAGAGACUUGGUUUCAUGGAGUGCGAUGGUCUCAUGUUUUGCGAUUAACAGCAUGGAGUUGCAAGCAAUUUGGACAUUUUUUUUAUUUUCUCGAAUUGGGUUUUUACCCAAAUGAGUAUUGCUUUGUGGUCAUGAUUCGGGCUUGUUCAAUGAGUUGGGGAGAUAAUUUAUGGGUUUGUGGUGAAAACCGGGUAUUUUGAGGCUGAUGUGUGUGUUGGGUGUGAAUUGAUUGAUGUGUUCGUGAAGGGUAGUGGUGACUUGGGCUCAGGUUAUAAGGUGUUCGAGAAAAUGCCAGAGAGAAAUUUGGGUACUUGGACUUUGAUGAUAACUAGAUUUGCGCAAUUUGGUUGUGCCAGAGAUGCGAUUGAAUUGUUUUUGGAUAUGGAAUUGAGUGGUCAUGCACUGGAUCGGUUUACAUAUGGUAGUGUCCUUUCUGCUAGUACAGUGUCAGGAUUGUUAGCACUAGGGAAGCAAUUGCAUUCCCAAGUUAUACGUUUGGGAUUGGCUUCAGAUGUUUGUGUUGGUUGUAGCUUGGUGGACAUGUAUGCAAAGUGUACAGCAGAUGGGUCCGUGGAUGAUUUGAGGAAGGUAUUUGAUCGGAUGCCUGAGCAUAAUGUUAUGUCUUGGACCGCAAUUAUCACAGCAUAUGUGCAAAUUGGAGAGUGUGAUAAGGAAGCUAUUGAACUUUUCUGCAAGAUGAUAUCUGGCCGUGUACAGCCUAAUCAUUUCUCAUUUUCAAGUGUUCUCAAGGCAUGUGGAAACCUUUCUGAUCCUUAUAAACAUGCUUUAAGGGAAAUGGAGAAAUUUAUUAGAUAAUUCAAGGUGAAUACAGAAGACUACCCUCGGUCCAAGGGUGCCAAGGAACUGCCUCUGGCUAAAACAUUACCUUGGUACAUAUAUGGAUCUUACAGAAGCACUAACCCUUGCAUCUAAACCAAUCAACCACAAAGUAUUACAGGACAGAGAAUGAGAGUAGCUAUUGCGAGGCACUACCUUCCCUCCAAGCUGAUCGUCAUUGUCGCAUUUCGUGAAGAAAUUGGUACCCCAACUGGAUUGUUCAUAUGAUCCUCAACUGACAUCUCCCUGGAGUAUAGAGUAGGCCUGGGGGGCAUUUGCAGGAGUUCAACUUCACCUUCUAGCAUCUCCAAUGCCUUGCUCAUUGAAGGACGAUCCGUGGGAUUCAUCUGUACACACCAUAAUGCAACUAUGACUAUCUUCCGUAUAUACUUGUGUUCGUCCUCAGUGGCAUCUCCAAUUUCCAUGUCUUCUCCUUGAUCUAUUCGAUCAUAAAUCCAUGACGGGAAGUAUGUUUGGCUUUGCUCUAGACAUGUAUUUGCAUGCUUCCUUUUUUCCCACCAUUUCCAUUAAUAACAUUCCAAAACUAUACACAUCAGCUUUAUAUGAAACACCUCCAAUGUUCUUGUAGAAUAAUUCUGGAGCAAUAUAUCCUAAUGUUCCUCGAGCAGUAGUUAGAGACACAAUGCUUUCUUCUAUUGAAUGUAAUUUUGCAAGGCCAAAAUCAGAAACUUUGGGGAUAAAGUUUGCAUCAAGAAGAAUGUUGUGCGGCUUGAUAUCAAAAUGCAGAAUUUGCAUGUCACAACCUUGAUGUAAGUAUUCAAUCCCACAACCCACACCUAGUGCAAUCUUAUAUAAUCUUUCCCAACUCAGAAGAAUGUUGUUUUCAAGUUUAGAAAAAAGAAACUUAUCAAGGGACCCAUUAGGCAUAUAUUCAUAUACCAGAGCCCAUUUUAAUCCCUCUGCACAAAAUCCACAGUCGCACUAACAUUAACAUGGUGAAUCCUUCCAAUUGUGGCUACUNNNNNNNNNNNNNNNNNNNNNNNNNNNNNNNNNNNNNNNNNNNNNNNNNNNNNNNNNNNNNNNNNNNNNNNNNNNNNNNNNNNNNNNNNNNNNNNNNNNNAAGGGAAAUGGAGAAAUUUAUUAGAUAAUUCAAGGUGAAUACAGAAGACUACCCUCGGUCCAAGGGUGCCAAGGAACUGCCUCUGGCUAAAACAUUACCUUGGUACAUAUAUGGAUCUUACAGAAGCACUAACCCUUGCAUCUAAACCAAUCAACCACAAAGUAUUACAGGACAGAGAAUGAGAGUAGCUAUUGCGAGGCACUACCUUCCCUCCAAGCUGAUCAUCAUUGUCGCAUUUCGUGAAGAAAUUGGUACCCCAACUGGAUUGUUCAUAUGAUCCUCAACUGACAUCUCCCUGGAGUAUAGAGUAGGCCUGGGGGGCAUUUGCAGGAGUUCAACUUCACCUUCUAGCAUCUCCAAUGCCUUGCUCAUUGAAGGACGAUCCGUGGGAUUCAUCUGUACACACCAUAAUGCAACUAUGACUAUCUUUCUUAUAUACUUGUGUUCGUCCUCAGUGGCAUCUCCAAUUUCCAUGUCUUCUCCUUGAUCUAUUCGAUCAUAAAUCCAUGACGGGAAGUAUGUUUGGCUUUGCUCUAGACAUGUAUUUGCAUGCUUCCUUUUUCCCACCAUUUCCAUUAAUAACAUUCCAAAACUAUACACAUCAGCUUUAUAUGAAACACCUCCAAUGUUCUUGUAGAAUAACUCUGGAGCAAUAUAUCCUAAUGUUCCUCAAGCAGCAGUUAGAGACACAAUGCUUUCUUCUAUUGAAUGUAAUUUUGCAAGGCCAAAAUCAGAAACUUUUGGGAGAAAGUUUGCAUCAAGAAGAAUGUUGUGUGGCUUGAUAUCAAAAUGCAGAAUUUGCAUGUCACAACCUUGAUGUAAGCAAUGAUGAAAAUAUCGGUAAUCACGGAUAUAUCGGUAACUUGAUUUUACGGAUAUAUCGGAGAAAUAUCGACGGAUAUUUUGGAAAAAAAAUUUUGAUAGGUAAAAAAUUGAUUAAAAUUCAUAAAAAUGUAAAAAAAACCUCAUAACAAUAUAAUUAGAAGUAUAAUAGAUAAUUUAAAUUUAUUUUGUUGAAUAAUUUGAUAUAUAUAUUAUAUGAUUUGCGAUAUUAUAUGUAAUUAUAUUAUGUGGGUUAAUAAAAAAUAUGAAUUUUGUAAUUACGCAUUCAUUAUCAAGUUUCAUACAAAAUUUGAUUUUAUUAAAUAUAAAUAAUUUAUAUAUAUUAACUUGAUUUCAUUAAAUACCAAUAAUUUGUAUAUAUUAUCACAUAGAUGUUGGGGCUCACUUUGGAUCGUUCGAUCACAUUUUGGACCAUCACCAUCGAGUCAUGAUUUGUUUCCAUUUUUUUUUUUUUAUCUCUACUAAAUUUUUAAAAAAUCAAAAGGCCACCCAUCCGAAAAGCCUUUUGCUGAAGACCCGCUUCUCUCACUCAGGCAUCAAAAAGCCCUUGACUGAAGCUGCCCUCCGGACGAGAGAAUCGGCCCCAAUUUGCUCUUUCACUCUCAAUCCUCGCAGGUUCUAAUUGAAUCAUUUAUUACCUUUUUUUUUUUGCAACCCCUGUUUGAUUCCCAAGAAAAUCCAUCCCCCAUUCAAUUUCCGGGAAAAUCCAUCCCCCAUUCGAUUUCCGGGAAAAUUCAUCCUCGUUUGAUUUCCGAGAAAAUUCAUCCUCGUUUGAUUUCCGAGAAAAUCCGUGCAAAACCCUCAAGGAAAACCAAAAAAAUUGCUUUUUUUUUUUUCUCCCUGUGUUUUCUGAUCUGUUCUAGGGUCGCUUUGCUUUUGUGCCAUUGGAUUUAAAUUUCACGAACCCUAAAUCCGUGAUUUUUGAGCCAGGCUGAAAAACAACCUUUGCCUGCAAGUCAUGAUCAAAUUACUAGUCAAUUUCAUAAUCAUUUCAUAAUUAGAGUGAAAAAAUAUUUUUCUUUUCUAUUAUUAUUUAUGAAUGUGUAGUUAGCAAAUGUUGUAAUGAAUGGUUCAUGAUGAAUGGGAUUUUUGUACAAUAAACUAUUUUUUAGGCUCACUUUUGAAUUAAGGCCAUACUUAUCUUUUAACAUAAGUCUUAAAAUGUAAUAAAAUAUUUAAUAAAAUUACGUUCUAUUUAGGCUUAAGUCAAAUUAUAAUUUAUUUAGUUUUAAGAUAAAUUAAACAAAUCUCAUUCAAAAAUUUAAGGCUUACAACAUCAAUUUUCCUUUUUUUUCCACUAAUUUUCCUAUUCAGUAAUGAGAUGCUCUAAAGAGCUUAUUGUUUUCUUAUUAUUAAGAGAAAAAUCAUUAAAAAAAGAAAACUAAUCAUACAAUUUACGAGGAAAUUAAUAAAAAUUAAAAUUAGAAUUUGGACAACCUUACAUUAAUUAACUAAAGGCAUCCUUUUCCAAAUUGGGAAAUGCAAGGAAUACCAAGAUUGGUUCACUAUUAAAAGCAAAUUCCAUGAAGGUAACUAGAAUGCUAAUUGAAACUCACAAAAAUAGAAUAAUUUAAAGUCACUUUAUCUAAAUUACUCUAAAGGUAGGCAUGAAGAGAAAGAUAUACAAUUACAAACAAAAAAGUGAUCUCUCAUGAGUCCAAGUUACAAUCCCUUGCCUAAAAAAUGAUACAUGCAUCAAUUUCUUUCCUCAUGGGGCCUUAGGGACAUAGGAGACUGAACUAGUCAAGUUUGAGAGGCUAAAUGCCAACUGACAGUCAUUGUCAUAAUUAGUAUCCAAAAAAUAUGAUAAGAUUCAUAACACAAUGACUGAGAUAUUCCAUGGAGAUGACAACAUGUUGCUAAAAGAAUUGAUUGGUACCUAAUAUUCCAUGGAAAAAGUUGUAUAAAUAAGAUAGAACCCGUUAAACUAGCUUGGAGGUUUAGAAAUUCAUAAAAAUUAGUUAUAUUAUGAACUAGCUUGGUGGCUUUAAUGUCAAUCAAGCAAGACAAAUCCAAAAAUUCAAUUAAUUUAUCCUCUUCCUAAAAUUCAUAAUUGAGAGGUUCAUGGGUUCUUCCUUUUAUCUCAUCCAGCUCAUUGGAUAUUUCAGGAAGGCAAAGGAAUCAAGUCCCUCCAAGUGCAAGGACAAAUCUCCAUUUAGUACCAAGAAAAUGAACUCAAUGAGUACCCCUAUAUACAAUGGGCCACACAAAUUGAAAAUAGACCCCAUAUACAAUAGACCACAUAAAGAAUAAAUCAUAGUGAUACAAUGGUCACACAUAUAUAAUGGACUAUAUAGUUGUAUGAACCACACAAAUUGAAAAUAGACCCUAUAUAUGAUGGACCACAUAAAGAAAGAAACAUAGUGAGAAAUUGGUCGCAUACAUACAAUGGACUAUAUGGUCCACGACCAUUAGUGAGAAAUAGUCGAUUAUAAAAAUUCAUAGACUUCUUGAAAUGAUGAUGCUUAUGGGGAUGAUUUAAAAAUUUUAAAGUCUUUUUUUUUAAAAAAAAAAAAAUAGACACAUAGCAAUAGGUUUCACAUGAUUCAACAAUGUAGUUAUAUCCAUCGUUGAGUUAGGAAACUUUUUAAUAACAAAUCCCAACUCCCAAAGAACUAAUGUAAGUGGUUUUCGAUAAGGAAAUAUGUACUUUCAACUAACACACUGAAGGUUUAUUUGCAAAUAUUUUUAAAAUUAGUUUUUAUUUUUUAAAACAAAAAUAAUUUUCCAACCUCAAAAAUACAUCUAACAGAUUUUAGAAUAAAAAUAUCAUGAAAACAGAGUGAUUGGAGGUUUUUUUUUUUUUUUUUUUUCAUUUUGCAUGGUAAAUUACAUUCACCUAUAACUAAUAAAGAAAACCAUAUUUUAGAAUUUCAAAUAGAAUUUUAUUCCUAAAAAUGAUAUAAAAUUGUUUUUACAAAUUGUUCUCAAAAAAUUAUUUUUCAAAUUUUUUUUUGAAAAUAUUAUCCACCAUGCCUCAAAUUUUCUUACGAGAACCUAAUCUUGCAAUUUCUUAGAUCUAAUUUGCAAGAUGCAAAAGAAUGCUGCGAGAUCUUCGCAAGUAACAAGGCAACAAAUGACAUGAGAACAAGUCCUCCUAGCUACCUUAAUAGUACUAAGCUUUUCCCAAGAAAGCAAGACAUAAUGACUAACGUUAUUUGCUUGAGGCUAGUUUUUUAAUAAGCUCCCUUAUAGUUGCUUACCUAACCUCAAAGCCUACUCUCUUUGGAGAACAAGAGUCUUCCACAUUUUUUAUUUUUUGAGAUCCAUCUGCAAACUUUAAUGGAAGAUCUCAAUUAGUGCAAGGAAAGAAACAAUUAAUAAAGGUGGAGCCUCAAAAGCAACCUAUUUUAUUAAACUAUAGCAUAAAUAACGAGAUUACAUUAUCACCAUUUAUUACAACAUGAUUAUUACCCAAAUUAAACACUCAUAAUAGACAACUUCUUAUUCUAUUUCUGAUAUGAUUGUCAACUCUGGUUGGAUAGAUGUUUUACGUCUUCUAACACUUGUCCUUGUUUGUCCCAUAGAGGUAAAAGGAUUAGGAGGCAUAACUAAAUUGCCUUCUUCUCCUUCCAACAUUCCAACCACAAUUUUCAUGGAAGGACGAUCUAUUGGAUACCAUUGGAUACACCAAAGCCCUAUGAUGCUUAGUUUCUUUGCUAUUUUAAUAUCACUUUCGUCCUCAAUUCGGAUGUGUACCUCUUGCUCUUGAUCCAAAUGAUUAUAGAGCCAUUCUGGGAAGUAUGCUUGACUAGUAUUUUCUACUGUAGCAUCAAUAUUCUUCCUUCCCCCUACCAUUUCAAUCAACAACAUACCAAAACUAUAAACAUCUGACUUAGAAGACACAUUCCCAAAAUUUCUUGAUAACAUUUCUGGUGCAAUAUAACCCAUGGUCCCUCUUGCUGCUGUCAUAGAUACUGCACUUUGCUCCUUAGAGCAUAAUUUGGCUAAACCAAAAUCAGAAAUCUUCGGAUUAAAGUUAUGAUCAAGCAAAAUAUUAUGAGGUUUGAUAUCCAAAUGAAGGAUUCUUUGAUCACAACCUUGGUGAAGAUACUCAAUACCUUUAGCUAUGCCAACAACAAUAUCUUGAAGUUUAUGCCAACCUAGAGAAUAAUUAUUGCCAAAUGCUGAAAAUAUGAACUUGUCUAGUGACUCAUUUGGUAAAAAUUCAUAAAUCAAAGCUCGCUUAUAUCCAUCUGCACAAAACCCGAGCAACCGAACCACGUUAACAUGAUGUAUGGUACUCAUUGUUCCUACUUCAUUAAUGAAAUCUUCCCCGUUUCCUUUGAAAUCAUCAAGGAUCUUUACUGCAACAAAAACUUCAUUUGAGAGCUUUCCUUUAUAAACAGUCCCAUAACCUCCUUGACCUAGUUUGUCCUUGAAAUUAUUUGUGAUCUUUUUAAUAUCAGCAUAGGAGUACCUUGAGGGCUUGAGAGCUCUAUAAUCUUCCAAAAACUUUUGAAUAUUUACUCUAUGCUCUCUUUUCAACUUAUUAGAGCGAUAGACAAUAAAUAUUAUAAAGAUUCCAAAAGUGAAAUGAAGGAAACCAAGGAUUGCUUCUGCACAUAGGGGAAAAAAAGUUUCUAUAAGUAAUUGAAACAAGAAAAAAAAAAAAAAAAAAAGACAAACUAAGAAUCAUCAUCAUGAUGUCACCCUCAUUAUUGAAAAGAAUAUGAAUAGGAAAUCACCUGUAAGCACCAUUUUAUCCAUUGGAGCACCUGUAAAAGAUAGUAAACUUAUUAGCUUUUUGUAUUCUUUUAAUUAGUAAAAUCAUAAUAGAUUGCAUGACGUUGUAACAUGAGUAUAGUUAUUUUUGGUGUAUUUGGAUUUCAACCUUGGCCUUUGCAGUCCUUUCUACAGGUUCGAUUGUUUUAGCUAAGCCUAAUUGUUGUAGCUAGCUUGUAAUGAAUAAAUAAUAUUGCAUGUUCAGAUCCAUUACUAUAGUAGUUAAUUUGGUUCACAUCCAUAAGGGUUCAAUCCAAUUUUAUGGUACAAACAGAGAAUACUAUAGAAAAUUUCAUGUGCAUAUUAACAUCAUAGUAGGAGAUAAGAAAGGGCUUGCAAGGUGAAAAUGAUGAAGAAGCGGGAUUUAGUACCUUUUGCUGGUUUAUCAAUGCAUUCGAUUUCAGGUUCCGUGCUAUUAUUCUUCUUCCGUUGGCACUUGUUUCCUUUUGCUUCACAGUUUCCGCACAUAGGUUUUGACCAAUUCAUAUAAAAUUCCCUUUCAUGAUCAAACAUAUAAUUAUCUGGGAGUGUAGCAUUGAAAAUCUUCUGGCAAGAGGAUAAGUUCACUUCAGCGAGAGAGUAAGAGGAAGGAGCGACAUAAACUGGGUUACUUGAGAGAAUACUGUAAGGGAUGGACCAAAGUUGAUUAUCAGCAUAUGAUAGCUGAUUUGUUAUAUCUUCAGAACAAUUGAUUUCAGGUUCCCUGCUAUUAUUCUUCUUCCGUUGGCACUUGUUUCCUUUUGCUUCACAGUUUCCGCACAUAGGUUUUAACCACUUCAUCCAAAAUUCCCCUUCAUUUAUAUAAAAAAAUGGGAGUGUAGCAUUGAAAAUCUUCCGGCAAGAUGAUAAGUUCACUCCAGCAAGAGUGUAAUAGGAAGGAGCGACAUAAACUGGGUUACUCGAGAGAAAACUGCAAGGGAUGGACCUAAGCUCAUAUAUCUCUGCUUUACUUUCAGAACAAUUGAAGAAGGAGAAGUCGUUUGUGUAGUAUGUGAAGAAAGAGGCAGGUAAAUUAAGGUUUAGAAUCUGCCUUGGAAGGCAAUCAUCCGGGUAUUGGACAAAAAUCUCCUGAGAAGUGUAAUUUAUUUCCUUCACCCAGAGUAUUACUGAAGAGGGCAGCUCUAGUAUGGUCCGCUUCUCUUCUGAGCAUGAUAACUCAAACUCCGGAUAUCCACAGUGUUCUGGCUGGUGUUUUAGCCUGAACGGAAACCGGAUGACUGGACCAUGGUGACUGCACCUUGACGCCUUGCACUCAUCAUCUUGGCUCCCUCCAUUAAUCUCUGCAAACAAUCUCAUAAACAAGAAGAAGAAGAAUAAAGAGAUGCCCAUUUUUAAGCAACUGCUUAUCUCUAUAGUUUUAAUUUGCACUGCUUCUCCCCUACUUUAUAUAUAUGUAAUUAGAUUUGAAAAUUUUGUACAAAGGGAAGCAGGAGCUUUUAGGGAAUACAAAAAAGAUGGAGGACUGCUACAAUAAAAAUUUAGUUUUAUCUCAGAAUAUAAAAUUUACUUGAAAAAAUUGGUCUAUCAGUAUUUACUAACAUGCCGUAUGAGUAAAGAAAGAUGAUAAAGAUGAUCCUUCUUUAUCCUUUUUCCCAUUGUUGAGACCUAAAAAUUAGGUAAUAUUUAAAACAUAAACAAUUCCAAUAUAAACCAUAAUACUUCAAGCAUCAUUUUUAACAUAGUGAUUCUAAAUAAUGGGAAGCUCACAGUUGGCUGGAUGUGAUAGGAUGAAAGUGUGGUCCCUGUUGAAAAAUCAAACAGUUUGGGGAAGAAUAACAUGUUGAAGAAAGCUGAUUAAAACAGAGUAUCUCUCUCUCUGUGGAACUCACAACCCAAAAACAGAGCAUCUCUCUCUCUCUCUCUCUCUCUCUCUCUCUCUCUAAAAGUUGAUAAUGUUAAGGGAGGCACAACUCGUGGGAGUAGGCCUCAUGACAGUAGUCAUCCAUGCCUGCUUCCUUUCAGUUUGUGUUGCUAAGCAUCACAAGUACCAGAUAUGCAGCCCCUCUUCCUGCGGAGAUAUGAGGAACAUUUCCUACCCUUUUCGAUUACAAGACGAUCCCCCCAGCUGCGGUUACCCUGAGUACCAAUUGAUUUGUGAAAACAAUCGUACUAUGAUAAACCUGCACGGUGGGAAAUACUUGGUUACCCAGAUCAACUACCAUAAUUAUACAAUUCGGGUAGUGGAUCCUGGGAGAAAGAAGGACAACUGUUUGAUCUCCAGUCCUCUUCAUUCCAUUGGUGCAUAUUACACUGAUUAUGAAUCUCCAUAUUAUUUGCCUUAUGAAUGGAAAGCUGGUGUUUAUUCUCCUUCGGUUUCUGCACCAACAUUCUAUACAAUAGUUUUGAUGAACUGUGAGCAGUCAAUCAGGGACGACAACUAUAUUCAUAUAAUUCCAUGCAACACUAGAGGCUCUUCAUCUUCCUCACCAACAUACACUUAUGCAGUUGUCGGAGACUAUGUGUCGGUGGGAGAUAUUCCGUAUUCAUGUACCAUCGGCACAUCUAUUAUUAUUCAACCGUUGAAGUCACUUCGAGAGCCCAGCAAUCUUUCGAUGUCAGAUUUGCAAAAUUAUAUGCUUCUGGGGCUUCAGCUUUCAUUUUUGCCUCACUUCUGUGUCCGCCAAUGCGAAAUGAAAGGGCAAGUUUGCUCCUCAGAAGAUUCCACUGCAGCUGCCUUUCAAUGCGAGAACCAGAACGAACAUAUUCCCAACACUUCAGAGAAAAAUUGUGAGUAUAAGAUGCCCUCAUACUUGAUCUUUGGAGUUGGGGUUACAGUGCCUGCAAUCAAGGAAACGCGAUUUUAUAGGAAAUUAAUUCCCUGAAAAUCUGAUUAUGCUAACCAUCUUAUCUUCCUUGCGUGAGUCUUCAAUAUUUCUAUCCCUAAUUUCACUUGUUUGGUUUAAUCUUGCAGGGCUUUGGAAGUUUAUAACAAAUAAUUUAUUGCUACCCUUCUUUAGUAAGGCUUCAACUAAAAUUUUCUUUGAAAUCAAAUCUUUAUUUUAUUCAUUUUUCCUAUUUUUUUUACAAAAUUUCCUAAUUCAUUGUUAACAGGGGGGUUACUUUCUCCCUACACCUUAAAAUUUCGAGGUAAGGAUGCUUCUUGCAAUUAUUAUUUUCUUAUGAGAAUAAGAUAAAAGAUUUAUUUAGAGUUCUUUCAUCUUAAUUAAUCUCUUCUUUUCUUGCUUCUCAAAAAUUUAAAAUUUAGGUGAUCAAGGGCAUUCUUCCUUGUGACUAACAUGGCACGGAUGGUUUGAUGUAGGACUUCAAAAAGAACUUGGUAAUUGCGGACUUUACUAUCCCUGCAACACCUCGAUGAUUGGUAAGGCUUUCUUCACUUACAUGUCUCCUCUUCUAAUGUUAUUUAUGUCUCUCACUUAUAUUGGUCCAUAUUUUUAAUUUGUUACAUCUCUUCCUUACUAGGCGGCUGGAUACUGCGUAUUAUUGGUAAGCCUCCUAAAUUCCAACUACUAAUUUUUUGUAAAAACAAUAUUGUAAAGAGUUGAUAUGAAAAUUCUUGGAAUUCUUGCAUUUUGAAGGUUGUGCAGUGAACUUCAAAUUGAUUUUGCUUUGUUUGACUGUACAAAGCAAAAUCAAUUUAGAUGUAAUUCAAAAUUUUCUCCCAAAUUUAAAUGUAAUUCAACUCCACUAACAUGUAAAGAAGUCAAAACAAUGGAAUUGAAACUAGGGUCUUCUUAUCCAAGGCCCCAACACUUUUGUCAAAUUGCUCCCCAAGCAACAGUACACUAUAAAGUGAUUGUUAAAGUAGUUAUUUCAUAUGGCUCUCUAAAAACACAACAACUUAGUGUUUUACUUUAUAUGAAGGUAGAAUAUUUUUUUCUACCAUCUAUAUUUGUUGGAUUUAAUUUUGUUUUUGAUAUCUUGUUCCUUUUUCUUAAAAUAUUCAUUUUUUUUACAUUUGAUUUGUGUUUAGUCAUAGGAAGGACUAUGCUCGGGAUGUUGUGCCUAUUCGCCUAUUUGAUUUACAAGUUCCACCGGAGACAUCCAUCAUUAGAUGAUAGUAUUGAAGAAUUCUUACGGAGUCAAAAAAAUCUCCAACCCAUCAAGUACUUGUAUUCAGACAUAAAGAAGAUGACUCAUAACUUUGCGAAUAAAUUAGGUCAAGGAGGUUUUGGCUCUGUAUAUAAAGGAAAACUUCAAAGUGGUCGCAUUGUAGCUGUGAAAGUGCUAGUCAUGUCAAAAGCUAAUGGACAAGAUUUCAUCAAUGAGGUUGCAACAAUAGGAAGAAUUCACCAUGUUAAUGUGGUGAGACUUGUAGGCUUUUGUGUACAGGGAUCAAAAUGGGCACUUAUAUAUGACUUCAUGCCCAAUGGUUCUCUUGAUAAGUUUAUUUUUCUUAAAGAAGAAAAUAACACUUUUUUGAGCUGGGAAAGGUUGUAUAAGGUUGCACUUGGAGUGGGGCGUGGGAUUGAAUACUUACAUCAAGGUUGUGACAUGCAAAUUCUACAUUUUGAUAUCAAGCCACACAAUAUUCUUCUUGAUGAAGACUUUACACCAAAAGUUUCAGAUUUUGGCCUUGCAAAAUUGUAUUCAACGGAUGAAAGUAUGGUGUCUCUCACUGCUGCACGAGGAACAUUGGGAUAUAUUGCUCCAGAAUUGUUCUAUAAAAAUAUUGGAGGUGUCUCAUACAAAGCUGAUGUUUAUAGUUUUGGAAUGUUGUUAAUGGAGAUGGUGGGGAGAAGAAAGAAUGUGAAUGCAAAUGCAGCGCACUCGAGUCAAAUAUAUUUUCCAUCAUGGAUUUAUGACAGAUAUGAUCAAGGGGAUAACAUAGACUUGGGAGAUGCCACUGAAGAUGAAAAGAAGCUUGUUAGGAAAAUGGUGAUAGUUGCACUAUGGUGUAUACAGAUGAAGCCCAUAGACCGUCCUUCAAUGAGCAAAGCUUUAGAGAUGUUGGAAGGAGAGGUUGAGCUAUUAGAAAUGCCUUCGAAGCCUACUCUAUACUCUGAGGAAAUGUUAGUUGAGGAUCAUAUGAGCAAUCCAAUAGAAGCACCAAUUUCCUUGUGCAAUUCCAUGGGUACAAUUACAUUAGAUGGAAGGUAGCAUAACAUUUUUCCACUUGCAUGCUAUCUCCUAUGAUAUCAUAUGUUUGUAAUUUGGAUUAGAUGUAUGGGUUAUAACUCCUCUUGCAAGGUCCAUAUAAUGUAAUAUUAUCUUGAGGCAUUGGCAUGGUACCCUAGCAAGGUACCCUAGCAACAAGCAUAUAAACAUGUAAUAAUUAUUACCUAUGUUCUAAAUGAUUCAAAUAGCACCAAAUAGGAAUAUCAAUUAAUGUUUUAAGGCCUAGUUCCAUAGUACUCAAAUGAUUAUUGUUGUAUUGCAUAGCCUCACAUGACUUAAAUAACACCAAAUAUAUAUAAUAGAAAACAAAGUAAACUAACUCUAAAUAGAAAGAAAAGCAAUAAGAUUAAUAAAGAUAAAAGAAAGGACAUAAUAUUUAUGAUGUACCAUAAGAGUGUCUUACCUAUGUCCUUGGGAAAUAGCAAUCAAUUCAUUAACUUUUAAAUUAGAAAAUUACAAAAUUGGAAGAAUAUCGGACUAGGAGGCUCUUACUUGGCAAAGAGCUUUCUUUAUACUAAUAUUGGCUAAAGCCACUAAGAUAGCUAAAAGGACAUGGGCUUAUAUAUAAGCCUCCAAGCAUUGACCAUACCAAUUCAUAAUCCAUGUGGGACAAGGAAUCCCUAAACUAACGAAUACUAAUUACACCAAAAACCAACAAAUCUCAACCUUGGAAAAUUAAUACUCCACUACCAACUCCCAAAAUUCAAAUAUUCUCUAACAAAUGAACUUUAAAUGCAUCUCUAGAAACCAUAUACCCAGAAUUUUCAAACUAGUAUGAUAUUAACCAAGCCCAAAUAGUAAGAGGGAGCACUACAGGAAUAAUGCCUUAUAGCAGCAGCUAGUGACCCUCACUAGAGGUCAGAAAUGGUGUGCCUACAAAUUAUGGUUGCACACCAAGCUGACCGCUACAUGGUGUAGCCAUAGGUGGUGCAACAAUUUCUUAUAGUUGCAGUUGUGAAAGUGACCGUAAACACAAGUCAAAGUAAUAGUAGCAACCACAGUAAAGUGUAGCAAAUGGUUCUUACAACUGCAUCUUGUUUUUGGCCCCCGCAAAAUGGCAUAUAGUUGCAUUUUGGAGUUGGCCACAGCUAUAAGUUAUCAUUAUUAAUUUUUUGUGACGCUCAUUUGUGAGGCUCCCCAUUAAAUCCUUCAAAACACUAUAAAAAUGGUGUGGAUCAGAAACAUUUUUCUUCUGAGAAUUUGAGUAAGCAUAAUCUUUCUUUUGAUAUUACAUGCAAUUUCAUGCUGCAAUAGCAGCUUGACCUUAUCCCAACCACCUCAUAACUGAAUGGCAAUUUUUUCUGGAUCUCUUUCAACACCAAUAGCAAGUGUAGAUUGGGUAAACAGAAAAAGAAAAAGGCUAACCCCUUCAAGAUUGACACAAAAGCUUCACGGUAAUAUUCCAAAAUUUGGAGAAAUACAAAACUCAUAGGUCAACAAAAAUCCUUCUCCUGAACAUGAUAUCUAUUAUAAACCUUUUUUCCGGCAAAAAAAAUAAUAGAAUCAUACAAUGGAUAUAUACAAAUGGUGAAUCCCAAUUAGCAUCUACGAAACAAACCUAUAGGAACACAACAGAGAUUUUUUAGAUCAACAUAUUGAGAAAAUGACUUGACACUCAAAAAGAAAGGCUAAGAAGCUCUGAGAUUUGAUGUUUUGUUAAUAGAGAUCCAUGAGGACAUAGAACAACAUAUUUAAAUAGUUAUUUUUUCUAUGAAUAAGAAAAAAGAUUACAUGAGUAACAGCACACCAAUGCUUAUUUGAAUAAAGUGUCAUUCAUGGACAAUAACUAAAGAAACCAACUGGGACUAGGGGGCGAGGCCAUGAUAUUAUCAAUUACGUUACACUAGGUAGGCUAUAAUUACCAUUGAGAGUAGAAUGAUAUAUUCACUUCUCAGCAACUCCAAUAUCUGAUAGUAUCAUAUUACCCUACAGGCAGAAUACAAACAACGGAUGAAAUGUGAGUUGCAACAAUCAGGCAAUCAAAAUCACAUUUUGAACAAUAUAGGAACCCAACAUCCAAACAAAAUAGUAUCAACAAGAAACUGCUAUUCCUUUCAUGAUACAAGGUAUUUUUGCCUCCAUAAAUUAGUAAUUACUUCAUACGGAGUAAAUUUAAGGGUACAACAGACACCACCGCCUCAUAAUUUAAGAACCAAACCAUCAAGAAGGCUAUGUUGAAAUCUAAUCACCACAUCCAAAUAGGUAUUUCUCUGGUCUCAACAAGUGACACAAGGAAAUUUUUGUAUCUAGUGAAUACCUUGGACUACAUCUAGUACAAGGUUCUGUUUUUAUCUUGUAAACAUAUAUAUACAUCCAAACAUGUAUACACACACACGUGUAUGCACUCUGAAGUUCCCUAGAAAUUAUAAGUAGAUUUUGUAGGUACAUGGCUGUGACCAAUUCUUGUCCUAGCUUGUAGUUCUAGGUUAGCCCAAGGUGUACCUUUUCCAAAUUUUCUCUUUAUGAUGUUGCUUUAUCCCUCUAGGGAUAUAUUGUUAAUGGCCACAACCUCAGCAAUCUUUUUCAUGUUUCCAUGCAUGGAUCAGUUUAAAAAGGAAAAACACAUGAUUUCCAGAGUUUGAACUUCCAUUAUUUUACUAUAGGUACAAGGUUAACAUUUUUUGGUAUUCAUGCCCCAGUUUAGUCAUUUCCAUACUGACAUGUGUUAAUGGUGUUUUCUUACAUGCUUAUUGAUGAAAUCCUCCCUUCCCAAGUCCACAAUUCAUUCUAAGUUUAUCAAAAGACAUCAAGGCAUCAUAGAAAAUCAACAAUUCUAAUAUUGUAACAUCUCUAACAUUUGUAGAAAACAUAAGAUUCCAUAUUUAAUCUCUAGAUUGUAAAUUAAGGUUCAAAACUCAAAAGCACAUUCAUAUAGACACAAACCUCACUAGCCAUUAGCUUUCGGACAUUAUUAGCAUAUAAUUUUCCCAUAUAUUACAAAUGAGCUUAAUUUGAGAGUUAUACCCUGGCAAUGAGAGAACCUGCUUUGGGCAACAAUUCAAAUCAUGACAGAAUUUUUUAGUCUCCAUCUCAUCCUUGUAGCAACAUGUACCUCACUCAUGUCAUUCCUUUUGUGUGGAGCUACGAUUAUCUUACCAAUAACAUGCAAAGUAGACAAUAAGACUGAACAAGAAAUCAAAAUUCCUUAAGUUUAGAAUCUUAUACUGUAAGGAGAGUGGAACUAUGAGUGUCCAAGUGUGGUUGCUUGUCAAGAGUUGAAAAUUUGGAUGAUUAUUUGGAGGUUCUAUUCAAAUUCUUGGGCAGAAUGAUUAGAGAAUGAAAAAUGAUUAAGAAAUUUGGACAACAAUAGAGCAAGUAAGAAAAAUUCAGAUCUGAAAUGAAGCAUGAAAUAGACUAAGAAUGAUAAUUAGUUCAUUUGUAGCCCUUGUAAGAAGAUAACUAAGUCUCCAAGUGUAUUAUUACUUUCCCAAAGAUUUUGGCCAACCUUUAAAUUUGUAAAUUAAGUUUGAAGUUUUUAUUGAUCAACAAAAACUGAUUGUCUUAAUAUCAGAAACAAAAGAAGGUUGAGGCUACAACUAUUAUUACUAGCAAAUAAUUAUCAUUUUGCAAGUCUUCUAAUUUAUUUUAAAUGCUUCAAACUUCACCUACUUAGACCUAUCCAACAACUUCUUCAGCAGUCAAGCCAAGAACUUAGCCUUUAAGAUCAAUAAAAAUAAACAUUCCACAAAAGAACAUAGUUUUUUUCAUUUCUUUUGACAAAUGUAAAAUUUUCGUAAUUUGAAAAUUUUCACCUUAAGCUUAAUUUGCUGAUUAUUUGACUUGGAUAGCUACUUAUAAGUACAAACCAUCUUUAAAGGAUAAAUUACUGAACUGCUUAGGCCUGAAACAUGUAAUAAACACCUAAUUUAAAAAACCAAAAUAUAAAGAUUGUUUUUAGUAUAAUAAAAUAUCUGGUUGCUUUAUAAUAAAAAUAUAAAGCAAUGUCUACUGGUAUUUUUCAAUUUGUCAAAAUAGGGAAUGCAGACAUAAUAAUAAUAGAAUUUAAGAGAUAACAAACUAGUGAUGCAACAUAAUGAACCUAUUAACUUGUAUUUUAAAAGAGAACCUUAGAAAGGCCAUACUUAGGACUCUAAAAUUUUCAUUCUACUUAUGAUCUAACCAAGGAGGAUUUUGGAAAGAUCAUAACCUCAGAGAAAGGCAUCAGACUACUACCUGCAUGGAAAUUUGAACAGGAUUUCAGAUUCAAAUCAUUGAGUUUAGGGCAGUCUAAAUACAAAGCUAGCAAGUAAAUUCACAAGUUCAACAUUUGAAUACCAAAAUUGACUCAAGAAGAUGCUCCUUAUACUUAAUUAUCAUUUUAGGAUACUUCAAUUAUGUGUAUACAAGAAAAAAAAGUAUUUUCUGUUUCACUCAUUUUUUCAUUUGUUUCUUAGAAAAAACUUAAUUUCUUAAGCAUUUCUUUUCACAUAAAACUUUAUAUUAUAAAAACUAUUACUUGUUAUUUAUUACCAUUAUUAUUGUAAUAAUUCAUACAAUGAUCAAAAGAAAGAAAGAAAGAAAGAAAGAAACGAAAAAUCAUUGCAUGAUAAAAUUGCUCUAUAGAACAGAUUAAGUUAAUAAACAAAUUCAUUUUUUAAAUUUUCUUAUGCUAAUUGUAAGUAAUACACUUUCAUAGCAAUCACGUUUAGCUUUAGCAUAUUCAAUAUCAAAAAUGAAAAAAAAGGAACAAAAAGGAAAAAAAAAUUAAGUUUCUUCCAGAACAGUAAACUGAUAUCAAAUUGUCCACCUUUGUAUGAUGAGGUUGGAGAGAUGGCAACCUCAAUUGCUAAACAAUUGGCAAUUGGCUGAUGUUAGCAAAUAGCUAAACAAGAAGCUUAAUAAUAAACCCCUUUUAGAUAUAUGGCUAGAGGGACUAGUAAGAUGAAAUCAUUAAAUGAAUCUUUGUUUCUUUGAUGGGGAUUGCAUUUUUUUUUCUUUUUCUCUGAUGGAACUUUGAAGUUACAUUAUAUUUUAAGAAAACCCAAAAACAUGAAAAACUGGAAAAAAAAAAAAAAAAAAACACUAGACAAGACUCCUAGCACCCAAAAAUGAAGGUACAUUAAAGUAAAAGUAAAAAAAAAAAAUUUAGUUAUCAUUUCUUUGAUUAAAUGAUUUGUAACUUGAAAAACCAAAAAGGAACAAAGAAAAAAAGAAAGCAAAAAAGAGAAUGAUAAACCAAAAGAAAAAAAGAUGAACCCUAAAUAGUUAGUGUAGAUACAUUGAAGCCUCUUCCACCAAAUCAAUUAGGUGAAAUAUGGGUUCGAGGGCCAAACAUGAUGCAGGGCAAAGUUUGAUCAAAAGUUUGUGUUAGUUCCUCUUCGCAACAAUUUCUAACAGCAAGUGACCUUAUUUGAAUCUCCCAAUUAAUUAGGUUCCAUUCAAAUUGAACCAUCUCAAUUCAUUUAGAAAGGAAACAUGUUGGUUAAGACAUCAAUUUUGGUUAAAAUCAAAUUAUUAAUGUUUUAAUUUUGCCUUGUAUUGACUUGUGAAGCCAAACAAUGUAUUCCUAAUCAAACUGCUUAAUCUCACAAGUGGUUUGCCUUGGCUGUGGGACCUCCUAAGCUAACCCUCAUCUUGCUAACAUCUGAUUUGCCAAAUUAGGCGGAUUAGACCUGUCAUGUUAUAACAUAUAACUGAACACCUAAGAUUCAAAGUUUGAUUCUUUCAAUUGGUCUUUCAAUUAGACCUCUAUGACAUAUGUGAAAUAUAAAUCUGCUUUUGGAUUUUGUAUCUCUUUGUACCAUUGAGUUUCAAAUAUUCUACAUUAAGGAAAAGGGGUGCUCAAUAAAAGAGAAUGAAAGAAUGGUAAGAUUUUCAUUCUCAGAUAUUUAUAAGCCAAUCUUGGCUAUUAUACCUUGAUCUGCAGCUAACUCUGUGGCCAAUUUGGUUGGAGCUAACUCUCUCAGGAUGUGAAUUGCCUGAGAUAUGGUGGCCUCAAAUGAAAACAGAAGGGAAAGGGAAAAACCAACCAGAAAAAAAAAAGGAAUUUGAUAAUUAGUAAAUUGGCAGGAAGAAAAAGCAAAUGCUCAACCUAGUAGAUAAAAUUAGUAAAGUGUCUCUCCUGUAAGAAUCAGAAUUUCCACUCAAAGAACAAAUAUCAAGCUUAUGUCAAUCAGCUGAAUUAAAAAUGUACAAAUGAGCCUAAAAAAUCAAUUCCUGAUUUUUAAGAAGUUAGAAAAUCACAAAAUUGCAUUUGCCCCAUACAUGAGAUAACAGGAUUUGUAUAGAAGUAAAAUAAUGGCUGGUGAAAAACAAAUGUUGAAGUCCAUUUAAGAUUACCACUUUAAUCCUAAGAAAUGAAAAUUGAGGGAGGUAAAUUAGGAAGCCGUUUCCCUCCUACAAAAUUGCAUAAACCCCAAAACCUAUCAAAUGUUUCUCCUGAAUAGCAAUUAUACAUGAGAUAAAUAUAGUUAAAUGACAUGAUUUUCAACAUCUGAAUUUUCAGAUUUUUGACAAAAUGCUUCUAGUCCAUACCCAUUAAUUUCAAUAAACUUAAUAUUCAUUUGUCCCCUUCUUCUUAGUGUUUACAUGAAGAACAAAAUUAGUCCAAGGGGGUUACUACUUUGAUGGAUUCAAAAUAAAAUAAAAAAAAAAUAGAUAAAAAAAAAAAAAAAAAAAAGAAACAAGAUUAAGAUGAGUCAAAAGUGUAGCAUCCUAACUAGGGUGCAAAAUGAAGAGCUUUGCUCUAUCCGAAGCUUCCAUAGCCUUUGAUUUCAUUAGGUGCAGACAAGGCACUAUAAUAAUAGCAGACUGCAUUGAAUUUCAUAUCACUAAAAUUUUCAACUUCAUCUUAUGCACGGAAGACAAAAAAACACAAAAGAGAAGGGACACGAGCAAUCAUUGCUUCCAAGCUGAGCUUCGAUGCACAUGAAAAUGGAAAGAAGAAGAAGAGUGCAAAGAUGAUGUAUGUGAAAGUAUGGUGAGGGAUUGAUGCUCAUAAUAAUUAGUAAAUAUAUACCAGGGAAUCCAAACACAAACCCUAACCCUAACCCUAACCAGAAAAAGAGAGAUGGGAGGAACUAGAAGUGAUGAAAAGAAACCUAAUUUGAAAUCAAAGAAAGAAAGAAAGGAAUAAUAGUGUGAAGCCGUGGAAGGAAUCGAAAGAAUACCUGGAAGAUGUGGGCGAUGAAGUGGCUAAAGAAAUUGGUCGUUGAGCGAGUUGGUCAUUGAUCUAAGCCCCCUCAGUGAUGAGGAUGUCAAUGACAACAACAAUCUAGUCAGAGAAAUAUACAGUGAUGAGGAUGGGAAUUAUGGCUUUGGGAGAAGAGUUCAAUGGUCUCUAAUGGUGGCUAAGAAGAGUGAACGAUAAAAGACAUGGCUCUCAGUGGGUUCAGCAGUCUAAAUUGGGCAGGAGAGAUAGUGGUUAUAUUGUGGCUCUAUGGUCGUGGACAAGCCAUGUGAUUGUGCCUAUUGGGCCAUAUAUUGCUAUAAGAGCUUUUAUAGCAGCAACCCAACCCAUGUGGUUGUGCCUAUUGGGCCAUACAUUGCUAUAAGAGGUUUUAUAGCAGCAACCCAUUCCUUCCCUAGCUAUAUGAGCUUUUAUAGUAGCGAUCCAUUCCUCCCUCAGCCAUAAUGAUGCGGGAAUUUAUAAUGUUUUUUUUUUUUUGCUCAAUUUACCAUUUGACAACAUACAUGGAACUUUUUCUGAGAAAAUUCCAUUCAUAUGCUCUACUACCCUAUUUUUCUUUUUAUAAAACAAGAAAAUGAAAGACUUGUUUGAAAGCUAUUUUUUUAAAUUGAGUAUUUCUCUAAUAACUUAAUGUUGUAGAGUUAAGUUGUCUUUUUAAUUAUUUUUAAGUUUAAAAUAAGAAAUUAACAUUCAUAGCCAUUGGUAUUGUAUUUUGUUCUUUUUUCUUGAGUUAAUAUAAAUAUCAUUUGUAAAUAUAAAAAAAUUAAUUAUCAAAAUUUAUCUAAAUUUAAACAAAAUUACUACAAAUACUUUUUAUUUUUGUACAUAGAUUUCAACAACCAAUAUUUAUCUAAUUUCAGAUAUUUUAAUCCUUAAUAUAUGAAACUACCUAGAGAAGAAUGAACAAGUGGUCUACUUGAUUAUCCCCAACAUUAAAUUUCUAUUUUAUCUAUAAAUUCAAUUAAUAUUCCAAUAUCAACAAUGGUCAAGUCUUCAUCAAUCUCAUGCACAAGAUUUCUAAUUGCACAAAUAGACAUAGUAAUAAUAGCGAUUCAUAUAAACAAAAAGCUUUAGCCCAAAUAGUUUGUGUUGACCAUAAAGUUGCCUCCUCGACCAAAUUGGGCUCUGAUGAUGCCAGGCCUCAAACGUGUUGGGCUAGCCCAAAUCCAAGCUAGCUAGCCCUGCCCUGCCAGCUAGCCCAUGGGUCUACUGGGCCUUUAAGGAUCAAAUACUGCAUAUUAAUUCUAGAGACCCUGUCUUUAAAAACUAAAAAUCUGGUCUGCAAACGGAGCCCUUUCAGGAAAGGCAGACCCUAAAAGUAAGAAAACAGGAAGCAACUGGACAAUUGUUAUUGUUUCUUUUUUUGUGGGAAGGAUGGGGUUGGGAAUUUCCGUCCCCCUCUUUUGCUCAUUUCUACUGUUGGAAUGCUUAUGCUUCAGUUACAAGUCAUAGUUUAUUUUCUAUGAUGACCAAUUAGUAUAUAUGAGGAAUUUUUAAGAAAAACAUUAUUUCAUGUGCUCAAUUUCUUCUGAGGUUUUUGGAUAAAAACUGAAGUUAGAAACUCCUAAAACUAAAGCAAUAUUUAGUUCUUAGAAAAUUUGAGAGAACACAAUGAAAAGAAAAUAGAGAAAAAAAUUAAAAAAUAAAUUUAAAAUUAAUAAAUUAUAUUUAUAUGUUAUUUUAAACUCAUUUUACACAUUUUUCCUUUCCUACAUGAAGAUGAAGACAUGAUAUUCGGGAUUUAACCUUUGAAUAUAAUUUUUGAUAAAUUUAGCUUAAUUCCCUGCUAUUCUUUUCCUACAAACUAGCGGCAUUACAUGCAUCAUCAAACGUAGUGCUUCAUUUUUCAAUUUGGUGGCCUUUAUGGUCAGUUAAGCAAGACAAAAGCAAAAAAAAAAUUCCUUCUCCCUUUCUAGAAAUACACUACCUACUUUUCCAUAAAGAUGAAGCUGAGUUGAGAAGGUCAUGACCUCUUCCCUCAUCCAGCCUAUUCCACCUUGCUCAUUGUAAAAGAAUUAAAGUCCUUCAAAUGCAAAAAAAAACCUUCAAAAGAAUUGACUUACUGGAUAUGGAGAUAAAGAAUUUGCAGUAGGGUAAAGAAGAAGAAGAAGAAGAAGAAGAAGAAAGAAUGAUAAUUUAUAGUUUUCAUUACUACCUUAAUAAUUUUCAACUAGAAAUUUUUUAAAAGAACUAAGAAAACGUUCCAAAGUUUUUUUCAUUAUUAUAUAAAUAAUUUUUCAUAUAUUAUUAAAGAAUAAGGGAUAAACCCUCAUUUUACAUUAAUAGCUUAAAAAGCUAAAAUUUAUCAAAUAAUUUUUUUUUAAAAUCCUACAAUUCUAAAUUUGUUUUAAUUUAGUCUUAAUUCUUUAGAAUUUAUAUUUUAAUUUUGUGUCACUUUUUUCAUUGAAGAAGUGUAUGUUUUGUUUGGUAUAUCUCAAAGUAAUUAUUAUUUUUGUUUAAAUUAUUGUUAUAUUUAUGGAAAACAUAAAUAAGGACAUGAAAGUUGUAAGAAGAAAAUGGAAGAAAAAUAAACAAAUAAACUUACAAUAAAAUAAAUUUAAGUAAAGAUUUAAUAGAUGAUAAAGAAGAAUUAAUUUAUCAAAUAAAAUUAGAAAUUCUGAAAUAAUGGAACAAAAAAAUUUAAUAACAAAAAUAGUUAUAAUGAUUGCUAUGAUUAUAAUAUAAUUAAUUACUACAGACAAAAAAAAUUAGAAAAACACAAAACAAGGAAAAUAAUUAUCUUAUUGGGCUGCCAUGAUCAAAUUAGGUCUGUAUCAGGCCUAACCCAGCCUGACUAGCAUAUGAUCCAAGCUCUGCCUAUGGACCUACCAUUGGGCUUGGCCCAGUAAAACAAAGUAGAUUGUUCCAUUAAUUUGAUGUUCAGGCCUGAAUGCAGUUAAUCUUAAACACAUGGAGGAACCCUCAGACCUCUCGGAUAAGACAAGCUUGUUUGCAUCAAGGUUCUCAGCCACUGGGCUUUUUGUUGUUUAGGUUAAACAAUAUAUACCAUAUAUUGAGAGAGUUUGAGUCUAUUAUUAUUAUUAUUAUUAUUAUUAUUACAUAAUCUAUUGAGUCCAUAUUUUUUUCCUUUCUCAAUGAUUACUACAUGGUCACAUAUCAUAUGGUUCAUUUCUCCCACAAUCUAAUAUUUUUCGUGGUCUAGUACAUAUGGUCCAUUGGUAAUUUGUAUUGAUAAAGUUCAAGAUCAAGCAUUCACCUGACUCUCUAACUCCUUUAUUGUUAGGAUACCUGCCCUAUCUUCACCAUUGAUAUGGUGUCAUAACCAAAGUGGUACUUAGCUAGCAGCAAAUCCAGUGUUUCAUGCAAGGAGUAAACACAUUGAAAUCGAUCUCCAUUUUAUUCGAUGCAAAGUUCUCCAACAAGCCAUCACCAUUCAGUAUAAUUUAGUCAUUACAUAACUAAUUAGGCUUACUUCUCAGUCCAAUAAAAAAGUGGUAAAUGCAAAAAAAGAAAAAAAAAAAAAGAAGAAGAAAAAAGAAACAAAAGAAACUCUAUAUGGGUGUAGUGGAUGGGACUCUUAUUUUCAAGUUUCCUAGAUCUAAUUCUAUUACUAUUUCGUGCAAUACUUUCUAUCUUGAAUGUGAUGGACAUUAGUUGCUCUUACUUGAUUGAAAGGUGAUCUAUAGAGUUGUGUGUAGCUGAACUAUAAAUUGGGUUGCAAGAAUAUUCUUGGACAUAUUCAUUAAAAUUUAAUACACAAGAAAUACAUUACAUGGGAAUAAGAACUUCUGGAAUCUAACAUCAAUUGAGCCACUGGUAUAAUCAUUUUAUACAAUCAUAUGUUCAAUUAACAGAAAUAUAAAGAAAGAUGCUAUGAUGAUGAACAACUACAAUAUGAAUUUUUAUUAAACUAUACAUUCAUAAUAAGUUGAACAUAUAGACAAUUAUUUUUACUCUAGUUCUGAAAUUAUUGACAACUCUUGUUGAAAAACUCUACCUGGCUUGCUCAAGUUUGUUGGAACUGUUGAAGCAAAAGGGUUAGGAGGCAUGGUUAACUUGUCUCCUUCUCCUUCCAACAUUUGAACCACAAUUUUCAUGGAAGGACGAUCCACUGGACACCACUGAAUACAUGAAAGUCCCACAAUUGCUAAUUUCUUUGCAAUCUCAACAUCUCCUUCUUCUUCAAUUCGAAUAUGCAAUUCUUCCCCUAUAUCCAAAUGAUUAUAAAUCCAUUCUGGGAAAUAUAAUUGGGUAGUACUCUCCACACUAACAUCAAUGUUCUUUCUUCCUCCAACCAUUUCAAGUAACAACAUUCCAAAACUAUAAACAUCUGACUUAUAAGACACAUUCCCAAAAUUCCUAGAUAACACUUCUGGAGCGAUAUAGCCCAUUGUUCCCCUUACAAUUGUCAUAGAGACUGCACUUUGUUCCUUGGAGCACAAUUUGGCUAAACCAAAGUCAGAAAUCUUUGGAUUAAAGUUGUGGUCAAGUAAAAUAUUAUGAGGUUUGAUAUCAAAAUGAAGGAUUCUUUGAUCACAACCUUGAUGAAGAUACUCAAUUCCUUUUGCUAUACCUAUAGCAAUUUCUUGAAGUUUCUUCCAACUAAGUGAAUAGUUCUUGACAACUUUUGAAAAUAUGAACUUCUCCAAUGACUCAUUUGGUAAGUACUCAUAAAUUAGAGCUCGUUUAAAUCUAUCAGCACAAAAUCCAACUAAACGAACUAUAUUAACAUGGUGGAUUGUACCCAUUGUUGCUACUUCAUUAAUGAACUCUUCCCCAUUUCCUUGAGAAUUGUUAAGGAUUUUUACUGCAACAAAAACUUCAUCUGAAAGCUUUCCUUUAUACACGGUUCCAUAUCCUUCUUCCCCUAAUUUAUCUUUGAAUUGACUUGCAAUCCUUUUAAUAUCAGCAUAGGAGUAUCUUGAGGGCUUGAGAGCUUCAUAGUCUUCUAGAAACUUUUUAACCUUUACUCUAUUAUCUCUUUCUACUUUAUUUGAGCUAUAGGCACGAUAAGGCACAACAAUUACUAACAUGAGAAGAAAGAAACCAAAGAUUGCACUUGCAUAAAUAAAAAGAAGAAAACUUAAACUUUUUAUUUAAAUAAAUAGGUAAAAUAACCAAAUUAAGAAUCUUUAUCUCUAUAAUAAAAUAUGUAUAAAUAGAAUAUUACCUGUCACAAUUAUUUUCUUCGAUACACCUAUAAAAAAUUAAGAAAAAAAAUGUAAUUAGCUUGUUAUGCUCUUGGAAUUAAUAAAAACAUGCUAAAUUACAUGUUCAUGUGAUAUGAUUCUAAUCUAAUUAAUUUUAUUCUAGGCUUCAACCUUAUCUUUUUGGGUCCCUUUCUUGUAUUCUAUGGUUCAUUUUUGAGGCAGUACCAAUUCUGCUACUAACUCUAUCCUAACUUGUAGAGGAAAUUAAAACAUACCCUUCUAAUCCCUAUUAUGUAUCAUAGUUUUAUGUUUCAUAAUACCGUAUUGUCUUCAUGACUCCCUAAACACAAAUUCAUCCAAUUUUAUGACAAAAAUAAAAAUAAAAAUAAAAAUGAAACUCUAUGUAAAAGGAAUGUGAAGAAAUCUCUAUCCUUAUUCUAUACCAUUAUAUACAGUGAUCCAAUUGGUAGGUACGAUGACACUUGGCGAUUCGAUUGACCAUUAACAUCGAACUUCUCAUGUCAGGUAUAAGGGAAAAGUCAUCUAUGUGAAUAACCAUUAAAACAAGAAAAAUGAUGUUUAUGGAGUUUUUUACACAAUUGUAAUUAUUGAGAGUUGAAAUAAAGAUGAAUUACUUGGAAAAUUAAGGGUUAGGAUGGUCCACUUGGAUAUGAAAAAAAAAUUAAGAAAAUCAACAAUAUUCAACAAUCUUAGUAAUUUUUUGUUAUUAAAUAUUUCGUGAUCCAAAAGGAAUACUUGAAUAUCAAUUGUAUUACUUUGUAUUUUUAGGUUCACGUCCUUGGAAAAAUAAGAAGAAAAUAAAGAAAAAUAUUAAUUGUAAGUAGGUAGGAAAGAAUCCAUUAUAAAAGAACUUUUAACAUUUUUCUUUUAUUUCUUUAAUUUUCAAAAAACUAAAUCCAAAUAAACAUUUAACUCUUUGUUCAAUAAUUUCCCUUAAUUUUAUUGAGCGCUAAAAAUUCGAAGAAAGAAAAGAAAAGGCCUUAGUUUGGAUCCAUUAGUUUAGCUCGAUGUUUUGAGGUGAAAUGUAAGAAAAACAAUAUAUUACUUUACCCAAAAAUUCAUCUAACAGGAGUUUUAAAAUGUAAAAAAUUAUUUUCACUAAUUAUUUCAAAUUAUUUUUUCAGAUUUAGAGAUUAUUUUAUCCCUUGUAAUUGAAUUAUUCUCCUAUUUUUUAUUUUUCAGAUUUUCAAAAUCCCAAUAAAACGCAAAUUCAAUCAGCAGAAUUUAUCAGCUCAUAAAAAAUGGAGCAUUUGUAUAUUAAAUCAUAGUAGAGGAUAUGAGGUGAGCAUGAAAGAUGAAAAGAAGAUGAAUAGAAGAUGAAUGGGGAAUUAAGAUGCAUAGAGUCCCUUUACCUUUAAUACAUUCAGUUUCUCUGCUAUUACACUUCUUCAAUCUGCAUAUUUUUGACUUUGACCACUUUAAAGAAAACGCACUUCCAUUGAAUAUAUAAUCCCCAUAAUGUUGUUUACCUGGAGCUGAAGCGCUGUAAAGCCUGCGGCAAGAGGAUAGGUUCAAAUAUUGGACAAGUUCGGAGGACUCAACAGCAUAAACUAGGUUACCAGGGAUAGAAAGGCAAGGGAUGGACUGAAACAAAUUAUAUGGAUCUGUUUUAUCUGAGGAACAAUUGAAGAAGGUGACGAAGCCCUUCUCAAAUUUGAACGGGAAGGGGAAGGCAGCUAAAUUGAGAUUUCCAAGCUGUCUCGCAAGGCAAUUAUACGGGUCCUGGACAAAGAUUUCCCGGGAUUUGUAAGUUAUAUUCUUCACCAAGAGCUUUACCGAAACUGGCAGCUCUAGCAUGGUCUGAUUAUUCUCAGUGCAAGAUAACUCAAAUCCCGGGUAUCCACAGUGGCAUGGCUGGUCUUUUAGACGGAAAGGGAACUGGAUGAGUGGACCCUGGUCGCCACAACGAUGUGAUGCCAUGCACUCAUCUCGG
rnacentral:lncRNA from 1 species